AAAACUUAUCCUUACAAUCCACAUGAAAACCUUUUUGUUAUCUAUUCAUAAGCAAUAUAUUAUAACUCUUAAGCAACAACUCAAAAAUUCUGAUUACCAAACCAUGUGACCGAAACCCACCUUCGCAAUCAGAAUCAACAUAUACUUACUUUAAGCUUCCUAUCUUUUCUUUGAUUCUUAAAAACAUCAGCAUGUGACCCAUUCACAUUAUGUAAUAAGAAUCUCCAAAUAGGAACUUAAUAGAGUUAGAUAGUGGACUUUACCCGAAGUAGAGUCAAACCUCUUGACUUGAUCAACCUUAUGACCUUUCAGGUGAAUAGGGCAGCUUCGCAACCAAUGCCCCUUCCUUNAAAGUAACUAUGAUUGGGAAUUAAAUAAAACAUUUAGUUACUUUAUAAUAAUCAUUAUACUUUUAAUGAGAAUUUAAAUUCAUUGUCCUACCCGUUCGGUUAACAACCCUCCACCAGUCAAGCAAANAUAUCCAAUGCUACCAUUGUCAAUGUCCAUUUAAGACUUGGGAAGUUGUUCUUUUAAUCAAAGUUUCUUUACUGGUGUUCCAAAUCAUUGCUAGUUCCACAACACCAAGCAAAUAGAUAACAUCAUUAAGGGUCAUGUCAUAGUCUGUCUCAUAGUAGUCCCAAAGAGACUCACUAUGUUACUAAGAAAGUGAUUGAACAUCCAACUUUCACGAGACUUUGACACCCAACUCUCCCGGCUUGUCAAUAUGUGACUUUAUCUCCAAGAUGUGAGCACACAUAGACUAUGCUUGCCAAUAGGGAUUGAGUGACUUUAAACUUUUCAAGAACUUGUGGGUGAGGGAGAAUAAUUGGAGGAGGUGGAGGAAGUGAAGCAUGAUGUUGAGGGACACCAUCUUCAAGAGAUUUGGGAAGAUCAUAGUUGUCUGAACCAGACAUCUAUAAUGGGAGAAAAUCAAGUUAGUUGAUUCAAAGUCCUUAAUAUAACACCCAAUAUGAAAUAUUAAGGCUAGGACCCAACACAAUAUUUUAUAAUUUGGAAGAGGGAUGCCGUAAUCCAAGCUAUAAAAUAUUUGAAGGUAGGCGAAUGACGAUUCACCAAUUUCCACCAUGAAAAACGAAAUAAUUUAUUAGGUUUUAAUUGGAUUUGAAAUUCCUAGAUCUUUUGNAAAUAAGUUUUACAACACCAAAACAAUUUAGGGUAAUGUUUCCAGUCCAUUUCCAGCAGCAAAAGUCGAGAUUCUGCAUUCUUUCGAUCCUACUCGCCGAGUGCACGAACGGACUCGUCGAGUAGGUUGAAGUUUGCCUUGGACUCGGCGAGUCCCCCCAAUGGACUCGGCGAGUCUAGCAUGCAGACAGCAACAAUUUCAACUUUUUUCACUAUUUUGCAUCAAGUAUCAAACAAGCAAGCCUAGGCUCUGAUACCACUGUUGGGUUUUGAGCAAUCUAACACUUCCUAAGUGUGCAUGCAACCCUAAUAAACCUUGGAUCUAUGUUUGUCUAAAUACAUGCAAAAUAAUAAUUUUCCAAGGUUCAUAACCUAUCUAACAUGGCAUCGGGUACUUUUAAACAUAAAAGAAUUAGAUGAGAUUUCAUACAUUUUGAUGAUGAGUUUGAUUUCUAGGGAGUUUUGAGGGCCAAGCACCAAUAGUGUGAAUGCCUCAAAUGGAAUCACAAAUCACCACAAACUCUUGGAAAACUUUGAGAGAGUGUAUACACACAUAUAAAGUCGGCCAGUCACAAAGUCUCACACAACUAGUGCCACUAGAGGCUAUUUCAUGCAACAUAAGCAUGCUUAUAUAGUGUGCAUGGUUAGGGUGAAACCCUAAUAACCCAUGACCUUUCCUUUUCCAAGGAUCCAUGGGUUAAAAGAUCCAUGGAUCAUCCAUGGACUUUCAUACAAGCCUAACCCAUUAAAAAAUGAGUGUUAGCCCACACCAUAUAAAACCAAUAGCCCACAAUCUAAUUAGUCUUCCUUUUAAUCUCUAAAUUAAUUCAUAAUUAAUUUAAGACUAAGACCAAUUAAAUAACAUGACUUCAUAUUAAUAUAUUAUAACUUAUAAUAUAUUAAUAAUCAUAUGUGUAUAACUCUCAUAAAAUUAUCCAUAAAUAGUUUGGAUGAAAUGCAACCUAAAUGGACCAUGCCGGGUCGGGUCAACUAUAUACCAAAUAAGUUAUGGACUUAGACACCUUAUCCAACACGAAGACCCGGAGGAAGACCCAGAGGAAAUCGAAGAGGAGGUCGACGAAGAACUCGAAGGGGAAAUCGAAGAAGAAUUCGAAGUCGACGAAGAGGUCGAGGAAAUUGCAAGUGGAACAGACUCCGAGCCGGAAGUAAUCGACCAUCACAUCCCUCAUCCUCCCGAAAUCAGACCAUAUCAACUGGGACCCAUUCCCAUGUGGGGAAGUCACCUCUACUAAUGGAGCCGCCAGCAAGGUGUACGCCCUCCCUUCGGCAUGUGUCGAGAUUUUUACAAUGUCAGUGGGGGAGGCUCAGCUGAUCGAGCACUUCCUGUUAUUGUGGGCGCCAUAGCUACCAAGAAGUACCAGACGGACAAGCAUGUAACUAGAGUUCACGAGAUCAAUGCUGCUACUCAAGGUAAUGCCGCAGACAUCCGCCGUUUGGAAGGACUACAUGAGAAUACCCAAAUCUACAUAGGGACGCUUCAGAACCAAAUGAUAACGGCACUAGUAGAAAUAAGAGAGAUGAAGGAACAACAAGCAGAUCUCGAGAGGCGCCUGAUAGGAGUGAAACAGUCGGAUGUCGAAUCUAGCUCCAAACAUGCAACACACCGCAAGUAGAGCUUGCUCAAACCCCAACAAUUUUGUUAUAAAAUAGGACAUCGGAUAAAAGUUUUCCCCUUAUUUCCUUUUGUAUCUGUAAUUGGAGACCUCUAGGUAGGUUAAAUUUUCCAAACAAGAAACGUAAUGUAACACACCUCAGGUGUGACCUAUAUAUAUGAAUAUGAAGUACUACUUUGUAUACCUCUCAGAACUUAUGGGAUUAACUAAAAAUUUCUAUACUUACCUUGAAACCAUAAACUAAAGUCAAAACAAAUUACAAGAUACAACUAACACACGAUUGUCAAAACAUUAGAAACUUAUAGUAUUCAUUCUUAUUUUCUCUACCAGAACAUGCCUCCUCGUAGAUCAACACGUAGAAACUCAACUUCAACACCACCUCCUCCAAUUAUGGAUGACGUUAUGUUCCAAACUGCUGUAACCGCUGCUGUAACCGCAACGAUGGCUCAAAUGAGCAACAACGGAUCAGGAGGAGGAACAAACAGCUUUACAAAUGGCCAAGGUCAAGGCCGUUCACGGGUAUGCACUUACAAAGACUUCACCAACGGAAAACCUAUUCCCUUUUAUGGGACUGGGGGAGUAUUGGCUCUAUUUCAAUGGAUAGAGAAAACAAAAGCUGUAAUCGAAAGUUGCGCAUGCCCUGAAGAAAGCAAAGUAAAGUUUGCUACUUUUACCUUCUCUAAACGAGCCCUGACAUGGUGGAAUGGCCACAUCAGGACACUAACCCUAGUGGUGGUGAACUCCAUGGGUUGGGAAAACUUGAAACAAAUGCUCCUUCGAGAAUACUGCCCAAGAGGCGAGAUUCAGAAGCUUGAACAGGAACUGUGGAGCCUUUCGAUGGUAGGCUCGGACAUCGCAGGUUACACCAACAGAUUCAGUGACUUAAUAACACUUUGCCCAGGAAUAUUGAUCAUGGAAAGCCAAAAGGUCGAGAGAUAUAUCUAGGGACUAUCACCCCAACUUCGAGGAAGUGCGUUAGCUUCCAAACCCAUGACCUUCGACAGUGCCAAGGAACUGGCGCAAUCUCUCGUUGAUCAUGGUGUCUGUCAAGGAGUCACAGCUAUCAUGGCUGAACCAACCAAAGGGAACAUCAACAACGAGAUCAAUUCCAUCAACAACAACAAGAAGAAAUUCUGGAACAAGAGAACCUUCAAAGAAACAAAUGGUUGCGGUUCAUGCUACUAUUGCUCCCACCACAACUCUUGCUACCCCUGCGCCAAGAAAACCAUAUGCAGGGAACCUGCCCAAGUGCAGCAAAUGCAACUACCAUCACCACGAUAUUUGCUGCGAGAUGCACUAUAAGAACUGCGACAGGAAAGGGCACACAGCCCGUUUCUGUAAAGCACCAGCACGACCAGUCACUCAAGUUCCUGGUACUGGGUUAAGUCAGGCAUGUUACGGGUGUGGAGAAACUGGGCACUUCAUGAACGACUGCCCCAAGACGAGGAAUGUUGGCGGUGUUGGGAGUGUACUAGCAAUAGGUCAAAAUGAAGCAAUAGCCGACCCAACGGUGGUUACGGGUUUGUUUAUCCUCAACAACAUUUAUGCAUGCAUACUCUUUGACUGCGGUGCGGAGAGAAGUUUUAUGGGUCAUAAAUUCAAACACUUACUUAAUCAAAGACCCCAACCACUCAAUAAAAUAUUCACUGUAGAAAUGGCUAACGGUAAAACGGAAAGCACAAGCGAUAUGUACGUAGGGUGCACAUUAAAUUUAGAUGAACACUUAUUUCAAAUCGACCUAAUGCCCAUUUCGAUAAGAAGUUUCGAUGUCAUCAUCGGUAUGGACGGGUUGAGCCUUCACCAUGCCGAUAUACUUUUUCACGAAAGGGUCGUUCGCCUCAAUCUGCCAAACGGCCAAAACUCUUGUUAUUUAAGGUGACAAACCUAGUUCAAGUUUACAAAUCAUCUCCUGUGUUAAGGCACAAAAUUAACUUCGCAAUGAAUACCAUGCCUUUCUAGCCCAUGUAGUAGACCAGAUACAAGAACCAAAGAACAUUAAAGACAUUCCGGAAGUCUGCAACUUUCCAGAUAUUUUCCCAGAAGAUCUUCCAGGAAUUCCACCAGAGCGCCAAGUUGAGUUCAGAAUCGACUUAAUCCCCGGAGCUACCCCAGUAGCAAAGUCGCCUUACCGUUUAGCCCCAGCCGAGAUGCAGGAACUGUCCAGUCAAUUAAACGAGCUGCUGAGUAAGGGAUUCAUCAGACCGAGCUUCUCACCAUGGGGAGCACCAGUCCUAUUCAUGAAAAAGAAGGAUGGAUCCUUUCACAUGUGCAUCGAUUAUCGGGAGCUGAACAAACUCACGAUCAAGAACCGAUAUCCCCUACCGCGCAUAGACGAUCUGUUCGACCAACUACAGGGAGCAAGCUUCUUCUCAAAGAUCGAUCUAAGAUCUGGUUAUCACAAACUGCGAGUGUUGGAGGGAGACAUCCCCAAAACGGCUUUCCGAACACGUUAUGGUCACUACGAGUUUUUAGUAAUGCCCUUCGGUUUGGCAAAUGCUCCAGCGGUGUUCAUGGACUUGAUGAACCGAGUAUGUCGUCCCUUCCUGGAUAAAUUUGUGAUCGUGUUCAUAGAUGAUAUACUCAUCUAUUCUAGAAGCCAGGAAGAACACUGCCAACACCUCUGCCAAGUCUUGGAAACGUUGAGGACAGAGAAGCUUUACGCAAAAUUUUCCAAGUGCGAAUUUUGGAUUCAGAAAGUGGAUUUCCUAUGACAUGUAGUAAGCAAGGACGACAUACACAUGGAUCCUUCUAAGAUCAAGGCAAUAGAACGUUGGACGACACCAAGGACCCCUACAGAAAUCCGGCAAUUUUUGGAACUCGCCGGGUAUUACCGAAGGUUCAUACAGAACUUUUCGAAGAUUGCCAAAACACUUACCACCCUAACUCAGAAGAGUGUGACCUUCGACUGGGGAGAAAAACAAGACGCCGCGUUUCAAACGCUAAAGCGAGCCUUAUGUAGUGCGCCCAUCCUAACCUUGCCAGAAGGAACGGAGGACUUCGUGCUCUGUUAUUGUGCAUCAAACCAAGGACUUGGGUGGGUCCUGAUGCAACGAGGGAAGGUCAUCGCCUACGCCUCAAGGCAACUAUAUACGCACGAAGUGAACUACACAACACACGAUCUUGAGUUAGGAGCAGUCAUCUUCGCUCUAAAGAUAUGGAGGCACUAUGUCUACGGCACGAAAUGUAUGAUCUUCACCGACCAUAAAAGCCUCCAACAUAUCCUCAAACAGAAAGAACUCAACAUGAGACAAAGACGGUGGGUAGAACUACUAAAUGAUUAUGAAUGCGAGAUUCGAUAUCAUCCCAGAAAGGCUAACGUGGUGGCUGAUGCACUCAGCCGGAAGGAAUACUCGGGCCGCAGAGUAAAGUCUUUAACCAUGACAAUCCAUUCACACCUGUCCACACAAAUCAAGGAAGCCCAGAUAGAAGCCUUAACAUCUGGAAAUGUGGCAGGGGAAGCCUUAAGGGGAAUGGAUAAGAAGUUUGAGGUCAAGAAUGAUGGAGUUCAUUACUUCAUGGAUCGGAUCUGGACGCCGAAGUUUGGCGGAUUCAGAGAAGUCGUCAUGAACGAAGCCCAUAAAACACGAUACUCCAUACACCCUGGCUCCGAUAAGAUGUAUCUCGACCUCAAGAAAUUGUACUGGUGGCCGAACAUGAAGGCCGAAAUUGCUACCUACGUGAGUAAAUGUCUGACGUGCGCUAAGGUCAAGGUAGAAUACCAAAACCCUCGGGAUUAUUGCAACAACCAAAAAUACUCGAAUGGAAGUGGGAACGUAUAACCAUGGAUUUCAUAACCAAACUAUCCAGAACGGCAAGCGGACUCGACACUAUCUGAGUGAUUGUCGACAGGUUAACUAAAUCAACGCACUUCCUACCGAUCAAAGAGACGGAUAAAUUAGAGAAGCUAACUAGGACAUACCUCAAAUAAAUUGUACGACUAUAUUGUGUGCCCAUAUCCAUUAUCUCAGACCGAGAUAGUAGGUUCACCUCAAGGUUCUGGCAGGCACUACAAAAAUCUCUAGGGACAAGAUUGGACAUGAGUACUGCUUAUCACCCACAAACCGACUGCUAGAGUGAGAGAACCAUACAAACCCUAGAAGAUAUGUUGAGGUCUUGUGUAAUCGAUUUUGGUAAGGCAUGGGACACACAUCUACCUUUGGUCGAGUUCUCGUACAAUAAUAGCUACCACACCAGUAUCAAAGCUGCCCCGUUCGAAGCCCUCUAUGGCCGCAAAUGCAGGUCGCCUCUGUGUUGGGCCGAAGUGGGGGACACACAGCUAGCAAAAGGACAAGCAACAGACAACGCGCUCACUGGACCAGAAAUCAUAAGAGAAACUACGGAGAAGAUUGUUCAGAUCUGGGAACGUCUAAAAGCAUCAAGAGAUAGACAAAAGAGCUACGCGGAUAAACGACGGAAACGCUUGGAAUUCCAGGUCGGAGAUCGAGUUCUACUAAAGGUCUCGCCCUGGAAGGGAUUAAUACGCUUCGGGAAGCGCGGGAAACUGAACCCAAGAUACAUCAGACCAUUCGAGAUCCUUGCCAAGAUCGGCCCAGUGGCUUAGAAACUUAGAUUACCUCAGGAGCUCCACAACGUACACCCUACCUUUCACGUAUCAAACCUAAAGAAGUGCUUGUCCGAUGAGACCCUUGUCAUCCCUCUAGACGAAAUUGCAAUAAAUGAAAAUCUCCACUUUGUAGAGGAACCAGUAUACAUCAUGGAUCGGGAAAUAAAAAGGACUAAACAAAGCCGCAUACCUAUUGUAAAGGUCCGUUGGAACGCCAAGCGAGGACCUGAAUACACCUGGGAACGCGAGGAUCAGAUGAAACAAAAGUACCCGCAUCUUUUACCUAACCGGUAAACUCUAUCUUAGAUUAAAUUUCGCGACGAAAUUCCCUUAACAGGGGGAUGAUGUGACAACCCUAUAUUUUUCCAAAAGCAGUGUAACGCUCAAAAGUCUAAAACAACGAAAACUAUUUGGAAUCAACUAAAUUAACCCCAAAAAUAAAGUGUUCAAAUAUCUAAGUUGGGAUGCAUCAAAUAUUAGAUAUCGUGCCAAGGUUUCCAAAAACGUAAAGAACGUUCAAAACCUGGUUAUAUUGAAGAAAUUAUAACCAAUCGUAUAUUUACGACACACCGUUAAAACGCUAUUUAACGUAAAAAGUGAAAUUUCAAUAAAAUGCUUUUUUGCCUUAAGUAUCUAAACAAAAGAUGUAGAGUUCGUUAAUCUAUAAACAUACAUAAAAAGAUCGCCCAAAUUGGACCUCGUAUGAAGAAGUUACGAAUUUCCUAUGUUUCGUAACAGUAGUAGAGGGCUAAAAACUCAAAUUGAAGAUUGAGUGUUAUUUAGCUAUUGCCACCUAAACGGAAGUUGAACAUCUCCACAAUUGUAAUAAAAUGAUAAAAAGACAAACGAAAACCGACGUCGAAUAAAGAAACUAUGAAUUUUUAACGGACUUUAUUAGUCCCGGCCUAUUAAAUCUAUAUCACUAAAAAUAAAGUCAAAACUAGCUGCCGGAGUCUAAAUGAAAGUUGUAGAGCAUAAUCUCAGCUGCGCGUGGAUAUGUAGAACGCAAAAAACGGAGCCUGUACGCGAAAGUUACGGAAUUUAGGAAAUGGAAGACUGGACUACGCCCUGCGUAAUCCAAAAUUAUGCCCUGCGUAAUCCAAAAUUACGCCCCGCGUACUAGACCCAGAGUGGAGUCCCAUCGGCUGCAACUCUACACUUAGCUAGAUCGGAGUCGUAAGCCGUGAUGCAUUUCUACGCCCCGCGUAACCGAAGUACGCCCCGCGUACCGAGUACGCCCUGCGUACGCCGGUAGUACACCCCGCAUACGCGAAUCCUCCAGCCUAUAAAUAGAAGGUGUGAGCCACGAGUUUUUGCACACAUUCUCAAACUCUCAGUCACUCCCUCAUACUUUCAAGCUUCAGAGACCAUCCCGACACCCUCGGUUUCCGUACCUGAGCCCUCGAUGAAAGAUCUACACUACCGAGACCCCCAAAGAGCCUGAAGGCGCAACUUUCUGCGGUCGAAGUUCUGCUCAACUCUAGCCUCUCUCUCUUCAAACCAAACGAGCGAGUUCAUACCCCUACUUUUCAAUUCUUUUGAUGUUUUAGGGGGGGAAUACAAGUACAUUAAAAGUCAAAAUAUCGUUUUAUAAACAUAAUUAUAAUAUCUAUCUUAUAGAGUAUCGAUACAAACAUCUUUAUGUUUAAAGGGCUAUUAUGUCAUCAAGUUAUUCUUACUAAAUGGAAACAUACUUUUUGAGAAACUAUAAUGAGUAUAGUUAACAAGUUAUUCAUACAUUUUACAUAUACAUCUUGACAAACGAAAUACUUUCAAAUGAAGUAAAGUCUUUCUUAUCGUAAAACUGUUUAUACCAAGUAAUGUGAGAUAUUCAAACUUCAAUGUAGUCGUAUGUAUGCAUUUCAAAUCCUGCAUUAUAUACCAUAAUCUCUUGGAGGGAGAGCGUGAUACUUGUGUAUAGAUCUAUAUGGGAUUGACAACCCCGCACCUAAACUAUUAGCUAUAGUUAGAUCGGCAGGUUUGGGGUGACAAAUGUCAUAAGACUACAACACCUGAAGAAUGUUGUUACAGGCUGUCAGUGUCAAUAGUAUGGUUAUAAAACUCACAUAAAAGUAUAAAAACAAGUUUGAUUUACGAGAUUCAUAUAUGCAUUCAGUUUUCCACAUCGUUUUUAGCACAAAGUUUAUCAUUAUUAUUCAAGUAUGGAACAUACUAAUGCACUCCAACUCUAGAAACUUUUCAAACCAUUUAUAGAAAAUAUUGGAUUUUCUGAAAACCUCGUUGAUCGAUUUACUACUAAAAGGACAUAAUUUUCAAUGAAAAACACUUAUGAACUCACCAUCUUAAUUGUUGACACUUUUUCGAAACCACUUGUAUUUCUCAGGGAAUCAGUAAUACAGGUAACUACCAGCUUUUGAAGAAGGAACGCUAAGGACGUUUUAUUAUUGAACAUUUAUCAUCAUAUUGUAAUAUUCUUUUGCUAAUAUGUAUAACGCAACAAUAUACGUUUUCAUUAUAUAUAUGAUGGUUGUGUUACUUUCUUUACAAUAUUCAAUUGUUUUGAUACUACGUGAAGUCAACCACCUCCGAAUGUUUCCGCCAUUCUGGUUUGGGGGUGUGACAGAUUGGUAUCAGAGCAUUGUUUAUAAUGAACUAAGUAUAUCGAACCACAUAAGAUAUACAAAACUAUAAAUGCAAAGGGGACCAAAAACCCUCUGACAAAACAUUUUCAUGAACAGUAUAUUUUCUUUUAAAAAUAUACAUCUUUACUCGCAUGUAUUAGUCUCGUCUCAUGACAAGUUUUCUACAGAGUAUUAAGGCAAGUUGCGACACUACGAUUGGGCCUCGGGGUAUGUAAUCAGGUCGAGAAUAAAUAUAGCCUGAUCAACUAUAUUUAUCCUAGAUUUGACCAACGUACGUCGAGGAAUGGUCGUAGUGGACAACAAGCCAAAAACUUACCAAAUAGAAAUUAUUUUAGUUUCGCCAAUUUGAAAUACUAUAGGAGUAUUGUUAAAAAUAAUUAUACAAUGAAACACUUGCGCCCCGUAAGGAUAUAGUUAAACAUAGGGAGUCGUUAAAUAGAAAUUUCUUUUCUUAUGAAAUUCUCAUACCUCUAACCUAGUACAGACAAAUGGCCGGAUUCCAUUUACCGGGAGAUCCCCACUACCCAAACCAAGGCAACGGCGGCUGGAUAGAAGAAGACCCAGAGGAAGACCCAGAGGAAAUCGAAGAGGAGGUUGAGGAAGAACUCGAAGGGGAAAUCGAAGAAGAAUUCGAUGUCGAAGUCGGAGAAGAAUUCAAAGUCAACGAAGAGGUCGAGGAAAUUACUAGUGGAACAGACUCCGAGCCGGAAGUAAUCGACCCUCCCAUCCCUCAUCCUCUCGAAAUCAGACCAUAUCAACUGGGACCCAUUCCCAUGAGGGGAAGCCACCUCUACUACUGGAGCCGCCAACAAGGUGUAUGCCCUCCCUUCGGCAUGUGUCGAGAUUUUUACAAUGUCAGUGGGGGAGGCUCAGCUGAUCAAGCACUUCCUGUUAUUGUGGGCGCCAUAGCUACCCAGAACUACCAGACGGACAAGCACGCAGCCAGAGUUCGCGAGAUCAAUGCUGCUACUCAAGGUAACGCCGCAGACAUCCGCCGUUUGGAAGGACUACAUGAGAAUACCCAAAUCUACACAGGGACGCAUCAGAACCAAAUGAUAACGGCACUAGCAGAAAUAAGAGAGAUGAAGGAACAACAAGCAGAUCUCGAGAGGCGCCGGAUGGGAGUCAAACAGUCGGAUGCCAAUCUUGCUCCAAACGUGCAACACGCCGCAAGUAGAGCUUCCUCAUACCCCAUCAAUUUUGUUAUAAAAUAGGACUUAGGAUAAAAGUUUUUCCCUUAUUUCCUUUUGUAUCUGUAAUCGGAGACCUCUAGGUAGGUCAAAUUUUCCAAACAAGAAGCGUAAUGUAACACACCUCAGGUGUGACCUACAUAUAUGAAUAUGAAGUACUACUUUGUAUACCUCUCGGAACUUAUGGGAUUAACUUAAAAUUUCUAUACUUACCUUGAAACCAUAAACUAAAGUCAAAACAAAUUACAAGAUACAGCUAACACACGAUUGUCAAAACAUUAGAAACUUAUAGUAUUCAUUCUUAUUUUCUCUACUAGAACAUGCCUCCUCGUAGAUCAACACAUAGAAACUCAACUUCAACACCACCUCCUCCAAUUAUGGAUGCCGUUAUGUUCCAAAUUGUUGUAACCGCAACGAUGUCUCAAAUGAGCAACAACGGAUCGGGAGGAGGAAGAAACAGCUUUACAAAUGGCCAAGGUCAAGGCCGUUCAGGGGUAUGCACUUACAAAGACUUCACCAACGGAAACGUUAUUCCCUUUUAUGGGACUAGGGGAGUAUUGGCUCUAUUUCAAUGGAUAGAGAAAACAGAAGCUGUAAUCGAAAUUUGUGCAUGCCCUGAAGAAAGCAAAGUAAAGUUUGCUGCUUCUACUUUCUCUGAACGAGCCCUGACAUGGUGGAACGGCCACGUCAAGACACUAACGCUAGUGGUGGCGAACUCCAUGGGUUGGGAAAACUUAAGACGAAUGCUCCUUCGAGAAUACUGCCCAAGAGGCGAGAUUCAGAAGCUUGAACAGGAACUGUGGAGCCUUUCGAUGGUAGGCUCGGACAUCGCAGGUUACACCAACAGAUUCAGUGAUUUAAUAACACUUUGCCCAGGAAUAUUGAUCCUGGAUUGCCAAAAGGUCAAGAGAUACAUCUGGGGACUAUCACCCCAACUUCGAGGAAGUGUGUUAGCUUCCAAACCCAUGACCUUCGACAGCGCCAAGGACCUGACGCAAUCUCUCGUUGAUCAUGGUGUCUGUCAAGGAGUCACGACUAUCAUGGAUGAACCAACCAAAGGGAACAGCAACAACAAGAUCAAUGCCAACAACAACAACAAAAAGAAAUUCUGGAACAAGAGAAAGGGGCAAACUUCGCAAGAACCUUCAAAGAAACAAAUGGUUGCGAUUCAUGCUGCUACUACUCCCACCACAACUCCUGCUACCCCUGCGCCAACAAAACCAUAUGCAGGGAACCUGCCCAAGUGCAGCAAAUGCAACUACCAUCACCACGGUAUUUGCCACGAGAUGCACUGUAAGAACUGCGAUAGGAAAGGGCACACAGCCCAUUUCUGUAAGGCACCAGCAGGACCAGUCACUCAAGUUCCUGGUACUGGGAUAAGCCAGGCAUGUUAUGGCUGUAGAGAAACUGGGCACUUCAAGAGGGACUGCCUCAAGACGAGGAAUGUUGGAGGUGUUGGGAGAGUACUAGCAAUAGGUCAAAAUGAAGCAAUAGCCGACCCAAAGGUGGUUACGGGUACGUUUCUCCUCAACAACAUUUAUGCAUGCAUACUCUUUGACUGCGGUGCGGAGAGAAGUUUUGUGAGUCAUAAACUCAAACACUUACUUAAUAAAGUAUUCAUUAUAGAAAUGGCUAAUGGUAAAACGGAGAGCACAAGUGAUAUGUACGUAGGGUGCACAUUAAAUUUAGACAAAAACUUAUUUCAAAUCGACCUAAUGCCCAUUUCGAUAAGAUGUUUCGAUGUCAUCAUCGGUAUGGACUGGUUGAGACUUCACCAUGCCGAUAUACUUUGUCACGAAAUGGUCGUUCGCCUCAAUCUGCCAAACGGCGAAACUCUUGUCAUUUAUGGUGACAAACCUAGUUCAAGUUUACAAAUCAUCUCCUGUGUUAAGCCACAAAAAUAUCUUCGCAUGGAAUACCAUGCCUUUCUAGCCCAUGUAGUAGACUAGAAACAAGAACCAAAGAACAUUAAAGACAUUCCGAAAGUCUGCAACUUCCUAGAUAUUUUCCCAGAAGAUCUUCCAGGAAUUCCACCAGAGCGCCAAGUUGAGUUCAGAAUUGACUUAAUCCCCGGAGCUACCCUAGUAGCAAAGUCGCCUUACCGUUUAGCCCAGCCGAGAUGCAGGAACUAUCCACUCAACUAAACGAGCUGCUGAGCAAGGGAUUCAUCAGACCGAGCUUCUCACCAUGGGGAGCACCAGUCCUAUUCGUGAAAAAGAAGGAUGGAUCCUUUCGCAUGUGCAUCAAUUAUCGGGAGCUGAACAAACUCACGAUCAAGAACCGAUAUCCCUUACCGCGCAUAGACGAUCUGUUCGACCAACUACAGGGAGCAAGCUACUUCUCAAAGAUCGAUCUAAGAUCUGGUUAUCACCAACUGCGAGUACUAGAAGGAGACAUCCCCAAAACGGCUUUCCGAACACGUUAUGGUCACUACGAGUUUGUAGUAAUGCCCUUCGGUUUGACAAAUGCUCCAGCGGUGUUCAUGGACUUGAUGAACCGAGUAUGUCGUCCCUUCCUGGAUAAAUUUGUGAUCGUGUUCAUAGAUGAUAUACUCAUCUAUUCUAGAAGCCAGUAAGAACACUGCCAACACCUCCGCCAAGUCUUGGAAAUGUUGAGGACAGAGAAACUUUACGCAAAAUUUUCCAAGUGCGAAUUUUUGAUUCGGAAAGUGGAUUUCGUAGGACAUGUAGUAAGCAAGGAGGGGAUACACGUGGAUCCUUCUAAGAUCAAGGCAAUAGAAAGUUACACGACACCAAGGACCCCUACAGAAAUCCGGCAAUUUUUGGGACUCGCCGGGUAUUACCUAAGGUUCAUACAUAACUUUUCGAAGAUUGCCAAAACACUUACCACCCUAACUCAGAAGAGUGUGACCUUCGACUGGGGAGAAAAACAAGACGCCGCGUUUCAAACGCUAAAGCGAGCCUUAUGUAGUGCGCCCAUCCUAACCUUGGCAGAAGGAACGGAGGACUUCGUGGCCUAUUGUGAUGCAUCAAACCAAGGACUUGGGUGUGUCCUGAUGCAACGAGGGAAGGUCAUCGCCUACGCCUCAAGGCAACUAAAGAUGCACGAAGUGAACUACACAACGCACGAUCAUGAGCAAGGAGCAGUCAUCUUCGCUCUAAAGAUAUGGAGGCACUAUCUCUACGGCAUGAAAUGUACGAUCUUCACCGACCAUAAAAGCCUCGAACAUAUCGUCAACCAGAAAGAACUCAACAUGAGACAAAGACGGUGGAUAGAACUACUAAAUGAUUAUGAAUGCCAGAUUCGAUAUCAUCCCGGAAAGGAUAACGUGGUGGCCGAUGCACUCAGCCGGAAGGAAUACUCGAGUCGCAGAGUAAAGUCUUUAACCAUGACAAUCCAUUCACACCUGUCCACACAAAUCAAGGAAGCACAGAUAGAAGCCUUAACAUCUAGAAAUGUGGCAGGAGAAGCCUAAAGGGGAAUGGAUAAGAAGUUUGAGGUCAAGAAUGAUGGAGUUCAUUACUUCAUGGAUCGGAUUUGGACGCCGAAGUUUGGCGGAUUCAGAGAUGUCGUCAUGAACGAAGCCCAGAAAACAGGAUACUCCAUACACCCCGAAUCCGAUAAGAUGUAUCUCGACCUCAAGAAAUUGUAUUGGUGGCCGAACAUGAAGGCCGAAAUUGCUACCUACAUGAGUAAAUGUCUGACGUGCGCCAAGGUCAAGGUAGAAUACCAAAAACCCUCGGGAUUAUUGCAACAACCAAAAAUACUCGAAUGGAAGUGGGAACGUAUAACCAUGGAUUUCAUAACCAAACUACCCAGAAAGGCAAGCGGACUCGACACUAUCUGAGUGAUUGUCGACAGGUUAACUAAAUCAGCGCACUUCCUACCGAUCAAAGAGAGGGAUAAAUUAGAGAAGAUAACUAGGACAUACCUAAGAGAAAUUGUACGACUACAUGGUGUGCCCAUAUUCAUUAUCUCAGACCGAGAUAGUAGGUUCACCUCAAGGUUCUGGCAGGCACUACAAAAAUCUCUAGGGACAAGAUUGAACAUGAGUACUGCUUAUCACCCACAAACCGACGGCCAGAGUGAGAGAACCAUACAAACCCUAGAAGAUAUGUUGAGGUCUUGUGUAAUCGAUUUUGGUAAGGCAUGGGACACACAUGUACCUUUGGUCGAGUUCUCGUACAAUAAUAGCUACCACACCAGUAUCAAAGCUGCCCCGUUCGAAGCCCUCUAUGGCCGCAAAUGCAGGUCGCCUCUGUGUUGGGCCGAAGUGGGGGACACACAGCUAGCAAAAGGACAAGCAACAGACAACGCGCUCACUGGACCAGAAAUCAUAAGAGAAACUACGGAGAAGAUUGUUCAGAUCCGGGAACGUCUAAAAGCAUCAAGAGACAGACAAAAGAGUUACGCGGAUAAAAGACGAAAACCCUUGGAAUUCCAGGUCGGAGAUCGAGUUCUACUAAAGGUCUUGCCCUGGAAGGGAUUAAUACGCUUCGGGAAGUGCGGGAAAUUGAACCCAAGAUACAUCGGACCAUUCGAGAUCCUUGCCAAGAUCGGCCCAGUGGCUUACAAACUUAGAUUACCUCAGGAGCUCCACAAUGUACACCGUACCUUUCACAUAUCAAACCUAAAGAAGUGCUUGUCCGAUGAGACCCUUGUCAUCCCUCUAGACGAAAUUGCAAUAAAUGCAAAUCUCCACUUUGUAGAGGAACCAAUAGAGAUCAUGGAUCAGCAAAUAAAAAGGACUAAACAAAGCCGCAUACCUAUUGUAAAGGUCCGCUGGAACGCCAAGCGAGGUCCUGAAUACACCUGGGAACGCGAGGAUCAGAUGAAACAAAAGUACCCGCAUCUUUUUCCUAACAUGUAAACUCUAUCUUAGAUUAAAUUUCGGGACGAAAUUCCUUUAACAGGGGAUGAUGUGACAACCCUAUAUUUUUCCAAAAGCAGUGUAACGCUCAAAAGUCAAAAACAACGAAAACUAUUUGGAAUCAACUAAAUUAACCUCAAAAAUAAAGUGUUCAAAUAUCUAAGUUGGGAUGCAUCAAAUAUUAAAUAUCGUGCCAAGGUUUCCAAAAACGUAAAGAACGUUCAAAACCGGGUUAUAUUGAAGAAAUUAUAAGCAAUCGUAUAUUUACGACACACCGUUAAAACGCUAUUUAACGUAAAAAGUGAAAUUUCAAUAAAAUGCAUUUUUGCCUUAAGUAUCUAAAUAAAAGAUAUAGAGUUCGUUAAUCUAUAAACAUACAUAAAAAGAUCGCCCAAAUUGGAUCUCGUAUGAAGAAGUUACGAAUUUCCUAAGUUUCGUAACAGUAGUAGAGGGCUAAAAACUCAAAUUGAAGAUUGAGUGUUAUUUAGCAAUUGCCACCUAAACGUAAGUUGAGGAUCUCCACAAAUGUAAUAAAAUGAUAAAAAGACAAACGAAAACCGACGUCGAAUAAGAAACUAUGAAUUUUUAACGGACUUUAGUAGUCCUGGCCUAUUAAAAAUAUAUCACUAAAAAUAAAGUCAAAACUAGCCGACGAAGUCUAAAUGAAAGUUGUAGAGCAUAAUCUCACCUGCGUGUGGAUAUAAAGAACGCGAAAAACGGAGCCCUUACGCGAAAGUUAUGGAAUUUAGAAAAUGGAAGACUGGAUUACGCCCUGUGUAAUCCAAAAUUACGCCCCGCGUACUAGACCCAGAGUCGAGUCCCAUCGGCUGCAACUCUAUGCUUAGCUAGAACGGAGUCAUAAGCCGUGACGCAUUUCUAUGACCCGCGUAACCGAAGUACACCCCGCGUACCGAGUACGCCCUGCGUACGCCGGUAGUACGCCCCGCGUACACGGAUCCUCCAGCCUAUAAAUAGAAGGUGUGAGCCACGGGUUUUUGCACACAUUCUCAAACUCUCAGUCACUCUCUCAUACUUUCAAGCUUCACCAUCCCGACGCCCUCGGUUUCCGUUCCCAAGCCCCCGACGAAAGAUCUACGUUACCGAGACCCCCGAAGAGCCCGAAGGCGCAACUUUCCGCGGUUGAAGUUCUGCUCAACUCUAGCCUUUCUCUCUUCAAACCAAACGAGUGAGUUCAUACCCCUACUUUUCAAUUCUUUUGAUGUUUUAGGGGGAAUACAAGUACAUUACAGGUCAAAGUAUUGUUUUAUAAACAUAAUUAUAAUAUCUAUCUUAUAGAGUAUCGAUACAAACAACUUUAUGUUUAAAGGGCUAUUAUAUCACCAAGUCAUUCUUACUAAAUGGAAACAUACCUUUUGAGAAACUAUAAUGAGUAUAGUUAACAAGUUAUUCAUACAUUUUACAUAUAUAUCUUGAAAAACGAAAUACUUUCAAAUGAAGUAAUGUCUUUCUUAUCGUAAAUCUGUUUAUACCAAGUAAUGUGAGAUAUUCAAACUUCAACGUACUCGUAUGUAUGCAUUUCAAGUCCUGUAUUAUAUACCAUAAUCUCUUGGAGGGAGAGCGUGAUACUUGUGUAUAGAUCUAUAUGGGAUUGACAACCUCGCACCUAAACUAUUAGCUAUAGCUAGACCGGCAGGUCUGGGGUGACAAAUGUCAUAACACUACAACACCUGAAGAAUGUUGUUAUAGGCAGUCAGUGUCAGUAGUAUGGUUAUAAAACUCACAUAAAACUAUAAAAACAAGUUUGAUUUACGAGAUUCAUAUAUGCAUUCAGUUUUCCACUUCCUUUUUAGCACAAAUUUUAUUAUUAUUAUUCAAGUAUGGAACAUACUAAUGCACUCCAACUUUGGAAACUUUUCAAACCAUUUAUAGAAAAUAUUGGAUUUUCUGAAAACCUCGUUCAUCGAUUUACUACUAAAAGGACAUACUUUUCAAUGUAAAACACUUAUGAACUCACCAACUUAAUUGUUGACACUUUUUCGAAACCACUUGUAUUUCUCAGUGAAUCUGUAAUACAGGUAACUACCAGCUUUUGAAGAAGGAACGCUAAGGAUGUUUUAUUAUUGAACAUUUUAUCAUCAUAUUGUAAUAUUCUUUUGCUAAUAUGUAUAACGCAACAAUAUACGUUUUCAUUAUAUAUAUGAUGGUUGUGUUACUUUCUUUACAAUAUUCAAUUGUUGUGAUACUACGUGAAGUCAUCCACCAUCGAAUGUUUCCGCCAUUCUGGUUUGGGGGUGUGACACAUGGCGAACUACUCGGCCGGAUAAACCCCUUCCCCAACAGCUCUUGAAGCUGCGAGGAUAACUCCUGCAUCUCCGGAGGUGCAAGGCGAUAUGGUGCCUUGGCGAUAGGCGCAACUCCGGGAACUAAUCCGAUUUCGAACUCUACCUGCCUCUCUGGAGGCACACCCGACAACUCCUCUGGAAACACAUCCAGAAACUCACGCACUAUCGGGAGCUCAUCAACCGACCUCGGUCUUUCUGAAUCAANCAUCACAUAUGCCACAAAUCCCCUACAUCCCUGUUGUAGACUCUGUCUCGCUCUGGUGGCCGAACAAAAUGCUGACCCCGAGCGUGUACCCUCGUCGUACACCGUAAGAACUCCCCCACUAGGGUCUCGAAUCGUCACCAAUUGACGCUUGCAAUCUAUCAUAGCUCCAUAUCGGCUCAGCCAAUCCAUACCCACUAUAACACACACGUCCCCUAUCGCGAUCGGACCUGAUCUAUCGGAAACUCCACACCGAAGAUCUCAAGGACACAUCCCCGAAUCAGAUCCGAAGCAUACACUGAUCGCUCAUUAGCUAUGGAAACUCACAGAGGCCGAUCCAUUGCCUCUUUACGGAUACUAAUAUGCUGACUAAAUGCUACGGAAACAAACGAGCGACUCGCACCCGAGUCAAAUAAUACCAACGCAGGCACAAAACUCACAAGAAAAGUACCUACGCAUACCAUCAUAUAAGCAUAAAACUCAACUCAAAUAAAUGAUGGAAAGAGAAUACAUACCAGCCACAACAUCGGGCGCCACGCGGACCUCCUCCGCAGUCAACUGGAAUGCUCUCCCACGAGCCUUCGGGGCCUCGACCUUCACCGGCCAAACCUCGGUAAUCCUAGCAGCAGGGGCAGAUCCCUGUGUUGAUCCCUGAAGAAGUUGCGGGCACUCGGCCUUCUGAUGGCCGGUCUGGCUGCAAUGAAACAAACCAAAAAUCCCUUUGGGAAAUCCCUCGCGAUAUGCUCCUCCUUCCCACACUUGUAGCAUACCCUAGCCCUGCACGUCCCCUCGUGACUCUUACCGCACUUCCCACAAGUGUGGACCUUCGCGCCCCCAGAUCUCGAAUCAGCGGGACUAGCCCACUUGGCUUCCGGCUGAGACUGAGCCGGCCGCCGAUCCACCCUCAGUGACUCGGCUCCUCCAUGGCCUGAGUCUCCAACUCGCUCUCCCUCUUCCGGGCAUUUCCUUGGAGCUCAACAAAUUUCUGAUAAGUCGAGUUCACGACGAUCUCCCGAAUAUCUCUCCUCAGCACACUCAGAUAGCGGCUCAUACGAGCCUGCUCAGAUGACACCUGCUCAGGGAAAAACAACCCCCUCUCAUGAAACUUCCUGGUGAUCACUGUUAUAGAAUCAGUACCCUGCUUGAGGGUCAAGAACUCCUGAAUCAACCGUUCCCUCUCUACUGGGGGAACAUACUCCUCUCUAAACAUAGCGGUGAACCUCUCCCAGGUCACCUUGGAAAUUUCAGUCAAAGUGAAGUUCGCCGUCACGAACUUCCAUCAAUCCUUCGCCCCCAGGCGGAGCUUGUUCAAGGCGAACCGAACCCUCAAGUGCUGUGGACAAGAGCACGUAUAGAAACAUCCCUCGAUGUCAGAGAUCCACCUCAUAGCGGCAUUUGGAUCCUCCGUCCCGCCGAAAUCUGGUGGUUCGUGUUGCUGAACUCCCGGAAAAACAACGAGUCACCUCCCUGAGGUCUGGCAGCAGCCACAGCAGCAAUAACAGCAGCUGCAGCAGCCUCAGUCAACGUUGCAUACCGCUCAUCAAAAGUCUCAAUCAACGUGGUCAUGAUGUCCCCAAACAUCUCAAGAAUCUCAGUCCGGAUGGCAGCAGCCACCUCCGCAUGAAUCAAUCGACGGAUCUCCUCGUCGCUGACACCACUGCUCUCAGGUGUGUGUCGGGUCCCAACCAUGAUGCCUCUAAAAUACAAUAAAAUUAUCAGAGACCCGACCGAGCACACACAAACAUGAUGACGCAAACCUACUUGUCCUCCGUUGUCCAAAAGAUUCUUACCAGGAAUGCCCACUGAUCUGUUGUCUUCAGUAGUACGCUCCCAAUACUACUGACCACACUGCAUCAGCAUUCACUCCAAGUACUCCUCCUUGGAUAUUGGAUUACAAGUACUCUAUCUUCAUGAGUUCCUAACUGAUAUCUACUCACUCACGAAGCAUCUCAGCAGCAAAAAUCUCCUGGGCUAAGGCAUCACAAAUCAAGCCACUCUAGUCCUAAUAUGUAUACCUAGCCUACUUUAGCAUGCAAACAUAACAUAUCUCAUAACACAUAAUGUAAGGGUACUUUUGGGGCAUUCACUGUUCGGGCGCUGGCUGAUCAUACACACGGCUCUGCUCUGUUUGUCUCAAAACUCUUUUUAUUCUUUUCAAAAAUUUUACUUUAUUAUCAAAAUUUUCCUCAAAUCCUCAGUUUGAGUUCAGAUACGCCCGAAGAUGCAUCCGAAUCCGUCAAACCAAGGAUCUUAUAACAACUUGUAACAACAUAAAUUUUCAAAACAAUUUUUCAUUUUUAAAACAUACACACACUCAUAAAAUAUUGUCAAAACAUAUUGUAUCAAUUGUUAUCAUCACAAAACAUCUCCCUAGAAUCUCAAACAUAAACUUCAUAAGUGUGUACGAAUCAUGUCGGCGCCUUUCCACGCUCAACACUAGUACCUGAAACACAUAACAAACAACUGCAAGCAUAAAUGCUUAGUGAGUUCCCCAAAAUACCACAUACGACAUAUACACCACUCGAGGCUAUAAUACGACCUUCUGGUCGAUGUGUCUCAGCGGUACCCUCCAGUCCCGUAGAUUUGUUGGGCCCUCCAGCCCGGUCUAAAUCAUUAGACCCUCUGGUCCGGUCUGUAUCGUUGGACCUUUCGGUCCGGUCAACACAAUCAUAUAGCAUACAAAUAUCACAUAGCACAUAGAUUCACAUAGUCUUAUAGAUAACACUUAAGACCCUCCGAUCCACAUAAAUACCACUCUAGGUAAUGUAUAAUGAGAAGGCUCACCUCGAAUAGCUCGGUAACUUGCAAUCUCUGAAAUCUCGGACUCCGUGGGAUAAGGCCUAGCCUCCGCCUAAUCAUAUGAAAUAAGUACUCGAUAUCAACACAUUUCCCAAGGGUAGACCAUCCCUUCUCUUAAUACUCUUAUGAGGGUAAAAGACCAUUUUACCCUUCACAUGGCUCAAAUACCCUAAUGUUGACCAAACCCUAAAAGUCAAUAAACGUCAACCCUUCGAGUUACAAUGCACGCACCAAACAUGUAGACUGGGCGUAACCGAUAACAUCAGAGGAUCGGGGUGUGCCACCCCCUACGCUGCGCGUAGUGGAAUUACGCCCGGCGUAAUACCCAGUUUCAGUCCUUCAGCUCUUGGGGUCUUAAAUAGUUAAGAGCCACGUCCAACUUUUAGAUCUGACAAUAUCUAACCCUCCAAAACCAUAAAGUAGAUGACUUUAAGCCCUUGCAUGGCUGAAUAAGUCACUAGAACCCAAAACAUCUCAUUAUCUAACCCUAGAAGGCAUAGAACUCAAGUAUGACCUCAUAUCAUCGACAUAAAUGGGGACUUUAUGGAUCUAGACCACAAAUACUAUAGAAAAGGGACAGAUCUUGGACCAUGGAGCACCUUACACUCAUAAAGUGUCCACCUUUGGGGGUUUUAAUCCUAGAAAUGGCACAUGCAACCACAACCAAAAAGAAGAGGAAAGUUUUGAACUUUAUACCUCUAAAUGCAACUCCUUUCAAUGUAGAUUUUAGAUCCAAGCUUACACUUCAAGCUUUUAGUCUCCACAAGCACCUUUCUUCCUUCUUCAAUAACACACCAAGGCACUAUUAGCUCCAAGAACACACACACUCACUAAGGAUGAUGAAAGGCUCUCUCUUAGGGUUUUACUCAUUGAUAUGGAGGCUGAGGAAUGAGCCUUAGCCUCCUUUAAAUAGUGCACAAGACUUAAUAGGGUUUUUCAUAUGGGGUGGGUAUGCCCGGCAUAACUAUGGGUACGUCCAACGUGUUGGAUAUAAUGUCUAAGUGCAUAACUUUAUUUGGUAUGUACUUGACCCGACCCGGCAUGGUCCAUUUGGGUUGCAUGGCAUUGCAAUACUUGGAUAGACUAAAUGAGAGAAUAUGGCACUUAUGAUUAUUAAUAUAUUAUAAGUUCUAAUAUAUUAAUAAUAGUGUUAUUUAAUUAGUAUUGAUCAAGUAUUAAUCUAGUAUUAAUUUGGUGAUCAAAGUGAGACUAAUUAAAUAUAUAGGGUUGAUUAUGACAAUCAUCAAUUCUUUUAUGGUGGAUUAAUGAUCCAUGGUUUAUGGGUUAUGGAUGUAACCAUUUGGAGCUCCAUGGAUAGUCCAUGGGAGUUACAAACCCAUGGGUCAUGAGAAAUGAAGAGUCAUGACAAUUAUGGGUCUUCUUAAUGAAACCCUAAUUGUGACACCACUAUAAAAGGAACCCUUUGGCUAGCAAAAUCGUGACCUAGUGUUACUAGAGAGGGCAUAACCGAUUUUGAGUGCUAGAAGUAUUCUCUCAAGUUAUUCCUAGUUUUGUGGUGUUGUGUGAAGCAUUUGAGGCACAACAUUUGGGGUGCUAGGCUCAAAAAGUCUUGAAGGAAUCCAAGCAACAUCAAAGUAUGUAUUUCUACUAGUUUUAUAUUUUAUUUAUUCCCCAUGCCAUGCUAGUUAGAAAAUAACCUUGAAAAAGAAAUUUGCAUGUAUAUAGAGAAAACAUAGAUUCAAGGUUAUUAGGGUUGCAUGUACACUUAGGAAGUGUUAGAAUGCUCAAAACCCAUCAGUGGUAUCAGAGCCUAGGAUUGUUUUCUGUAUACUUGAUGCAAAACUGCUUGAAAAUCGAAAAUUCUGCUCACUGUCGACUGGACUCGCCGAGUUCAUGGGGAGGACUCGCCGAGUCCAUGUACAAAUUCAUCCUACUCGUCGAGUAGGAUCAUGCACUCGACGAGUAGGUGCGUGCUGGGCAGUCUUUUCGUGUUUUGUUGCUGGAAAUGGAUUAAAAUCAUUAUCCCAAUCUGUUUUGGACUUGUAAAAUCUGUUUUUCAAAAUGAUAAUGAUUAUGUUAACCCAUUUUACAUGACUUUUAUCAAUUUUCAAGUAUUGUAUAUGUUUAUAUGAUUUCUUGAAAUUGCUUGACAUGAAUUUGUGUUCUUAUGAGUUUUUAGAAGAUCAUAGGAAUUAUGUGUAACCUCCAUGUGUGUUUAAUUCAUGAUCUUAAUGGCAAUGAUGGUGUUCAUAACUUGUCCUCAAGUUAUGGAUAACCAAAAGUCACUUCUUUAAAUUGUGAUUAAAGAACUAAAGAGGUUUCAUAAAAUGAAGAGUCUUCAUUUUUAUGAACCAUUAAAACUCAUAAGUUACAAAUUGAAGAGACUUGGAAUAGUUUCAAUUCUUGCCCUCAAGUUUUGGAAUUUGAAAAGUCUUACACUCUAAUACUUUAAUUCCAAAUUAAACCUUAGAUUUUUAAAAAGUUUAAAAAUCAACACUUAUACUAUUAUUAUAAUUUUAUUAUAUAGAUAUGUAUAAGAAUAUGUCAUUCUUACCGUUAGUAGGCCUCAUUCACGAAGCCGGUCUAUAAGGGGGGAUAAGGUUGUUGCCUAUAAAAUGGUGACUUAAUGGGUGUCCACUCUCACCCACCGCUUCCUUGAUCGGUGGAGGGUCGUUAGCCGAACGGGUAGGGUACGACUUUGAAUUCUCAUUAAAAGUAUAAUGAAUUAUAAAGUAACUAUACGUUAUAAAUUCCCAAUCUUAGUUACUUUAGGAAGAUGUGAAUUUGGUGCAAGCCCAUAAAAUUACACUUUGUACCUUACCAAGUCGUUAGUGGAGCGUAUGUUUUUUAAUCGGAACACUAACAUGGACUAGUAAGAGUGGCAAAGGGUAACUUGACUUUAUUAUAGAUCGGUGGAGCGUGUGUGGUUAACCGGCACAUCGAUUAGGUAAUAUUGUUAAGGGUACCAAGUCAAUUUGUAUGGUUAUUCACACCUUGUUUGUGAUCCUCGGCAUCCCAGUCACAAACUUGAGAGGGCACAUUCGAGAUUCAAACAUGCCAUUGAAAAGUUCAAUGUAUCUCAAAAGAUCUAGGAGUUUCAAAACCAAUAAAACCUAAUAAUAAAAUAUUUCGUCUUAUGGUGGAAAUUGGUAAAUCGUCAUUUACCUACCUUCAAAUAUUUUAUAGUGUGGAUUACGGCAUCCCUCUUCCACCUAUAAAUAGUUUGUUGGAUCCUAGCCUUAAUAUUUCAUUUGGGUGACUUAUUAAGGACUCUUAAUCUAAUGAAACUUAUCUUCCUUUUAUUCCAGAUGUCUUCCAAUAACGCUGCUGGCUCAAACCCGACAGGCUCCUUUUCCCUAAUGAACUUGUGUGGUAAGGUCAUCUUUGAUGGAUCCAACUUUAAUGAGUGGAUCAGAAACAUCAGGAUGAUUACCCGCUAUGAGGACAAAGAAUAUGUCCUUGAUAGGGAGCUUAAGGUUGUUAAUGAAGCCACUGCUACUCCAGAAGAGCUUGCGGAGUUCAUUGCACAUGAGAAGGAUGCCACCAAGGUGUCCUGCAUCAUGAUGGCCACAAUGACUCCGGAACUCCAAAAAUCUUAUGAAGAUUUCUACCCCUAUGAGAUGCACCUAGAUCUGAUGGAAAGGUACCAUCAGAGCGCGCGUCAAGAGAGGUAUGAAAUCAUUUCCUCCAUGAUAACCGCAAGGAUGAAGGAUGGUGAACCCAUCACCGGUCACUUGCAGAAGAUGCAGAGGUUCGUUGACCGGUUGCUAAAGCUCAAUGUUGACUUCCCUGAGGAAUUGGCGAUUGACAUCAUUCUCCAUUCCUUACCUCCAAGUUAUGAUCAGUUUCGUAUGACUUAUCAUAUGAACAAGGAGGAAGUCACACUUAGCAAACUUCAAGGACUCUUAAGGACAGCUGAAAAUGGCCUUAAGGGUAAAGCGGUUGCUACUUCUACUCCUUUAACAGCCCCUGUUCUUGCAAUUGGGCAAGGGAAGGGUAAGAAGAGGAAAAGCCCUUCAAAGGGUACCAAGGGUAAGACUCUUGAUGGUUCCUCUUCAAGUGGGACAAAGAAAGGUCCCAUUACUCCUUCUUCGAACCCAAAGGAAGCACAGUGCUUCUAUUGCCAAGAUAAGGGACACUUCAAGCGAAGCUGCGCCAAAUAUCUGCAAGAUGUAAAGGAUGGGAAGGUUAAACCCACCCAUGCAGGUAUUUACACAAUAUUGUCUAACAACUCAUCUAAUGCUAAUUCUUGGGUGCUUGAUACAGGGUGUGGUAUUCACAUUUGUACUGAUUUGCAGGCACUAAGAAGAAGUGAGCAAGUGGAGCACGGGAAGAUAAACUUAGUCAUGGGCAACAGGAAAGCAUCACCUGUUACCAAGAUAGGAGUUUAUUCUUUAUUGCUUAAUAAUGGGUUAAUGUUAGAUUUGAAUAAGUGUUGUUACUCGCCCGAAAUGGCGAGAAAUAUUAUUUCUUUUCAUGGCUUGUACAAACAAGGUUUUACAUUUUCAUUUGAUAAUAAAAAUGGUGCUAUUAAUGUUUAUUACAAUGAUGUAUUUUACUUUAAAGCAAUACCUUGUGAUGGUGUAUAUGAAGCUGUGAAUGUUGUAGACAAUUUAGGAAAUAAUGUGUUGUAUAUUGAUUCCUCUGAUAGCUUGGACAAAGGAUCCUUGUGGCAUUAUCGUUUUGGACAUGUUAACAAGAAGCGCAUAGGCCAACUCCAAAAGGCUGGAGUCUUGGAAUCAUUAGACCUCAAGUCAGAUGAUAGUUGCCAGUCUUGUUUACUUGGAAAAAUGACAAAGUCACCCUUCACAGGUACUUGUGAUAGGGGUGAAGGUUUGUUGGACCUUGUACACACGGAUGUGUGUGGGCCCUUCAGAGUUGCUACAAGGGAUGCUAAUCGUUAUUAUGUGACUUUUACUGAUGAUUACAGUAGAUAUGGAUAUAUUUACUUAAUCAAGCAUAAGUCAGAAACCUUUGAAAAGUUCAAAGAGUUUAAGCAGGAAGUUGAGAAUCAAUUGGGCAGGAACAUCAAGAUGCUCCGAUCCGAUCGGGGAGGAGAGGAUCUUAGCAUUGAGGUCCUUGACUAUCUUAAGGAAUGUGGGAUUGUCUCACAAUUGACACCUCCAGGAAACCACAGUUGAAUGGUGUAGCUGAGAGGCGCAAUCGAACCCUGUUAGAUAUGGUUCAUUCCAUGAUGAGUGGAGCUUCGUUACCAAUCUCUUGCUGGGGGUAUGCCUUAGAGACUGCCGCCCAUAUCCUUAAUCUAGUCCCUACUAAAAAGGUUGCCAAAACACCUCACGAGAUGUGGACUGGGAAAGUGCCCAAUUUGGACCACAUCAAGAUUUGGGGUUGUGAAGCUUUUGUGAGGCGUGAGACUCAUGACAAGCUUGAACCCCGAAGCGAGAGGUGUAUUUUCAUCGGCUACCCACAGAGAUCCUUUGGUUACCUCUUCUACAGACCCAGUGAUAAUGUGGUCUUUGUAGCAAGAAGAGGAGUCUUUCGUGAGAGAGAAUUCAUAAGCCAAGGGGACAGUGGGAGGCAAAUUGACCUUGAAGAGCUUCAAGAGUCAAGUGGUGAAGGAACCUCAAAUGCUGUCAGCCAACCUGAGGAGGAAACUCCUGUUGAGCCGAUAGAUGAGUCUGUACCUCCAAGACGUUCCACUAGGGUGAGGAACACACCUGAAUUUUAUUAUGGUUAUCACAUCACCACUGAAGGUGAUAUAUUUAUCAGUGAUAGUACACUGAUAGAUUUGGAUGAACCUAAUAAUUAUAAGGAAGCCAUGGCAGGCCCUAAGUCUGCGAAAUGGAAAGUGGCUAUGGAUAGCGAGAUUCAGUCCAUGUAUGACAAUCAAGUUUGAAACUUGGUUGACAAUGUACCAGGUCGUAAGACAGUUGCACGCAAAUGGAUCUUCAAGAAGAAGACCGACAUGGAUGGGAAAGUGCACACUUAUAAAGCGCGACUGGUUGCGAAGGGCUUUACUCAAACUCCGGGAGUUGACUAUGAUGAGACCUUCUCACCAGUAUCUAAGAUUAGGUCUAUUAGAGUUUUAUUAGCCAUAGUUGCAUUUCAUGAUUAUGAAAUAUGGCAAAUGGAUGUCAAAACCGCUUUCCUUAAUGGGAAGUUGGUUGAGGAUGUUUACAUGGCUCAGCCAGAGGGUUUUGUCGAUCCAAAAUACCCUAAUAGAGUGUGUAAGCUUGAAAAAUCCAUUUAUGGAUUGAAACAAGCAUCUCGCAGGUGGAAUCUUUGCUUUGAUGAGAAAGUCAAAGAGUUUGGCUUUUCUAGGAGUGAGGAUGAGUCUUGUGUGUAUGUCAGGGCUAGUGGGAGCAUAGUUAGCUUCUUGGUGUUGUAUGUGGAUGACAUACUUCUCAUAGGAAACGACAUCCCAACUUUGCAGGAGGUUAAGGCCUGGCUUGGGAAGUGUUUUGCUAUGAAAGAACUUGGGGAAGCUGCCUAUAUCCUAGGGAUAAGGAUAUUGAGAGAUAGGAGUAAGAGACUAAUUGGACUUAGUCAAAGUACUUAUGUGGAUAAGGUACUAAAGAGGUUCAAUAUGUAAGAUUCUAAGAAAGGAGAAUUACCAAUCCAGAGUAAUGCGAAGCUAAGUAAGACUCAGAGUCCGAGCACAGAGGCUGAGAUAUCAGAAAUGAGUCGAGUACUUUAUGCUUCGGCAGUAGGCUCGAUCNAAGACUCAGAGUCCGAGUACAGAGGCUGAGAUAGCUGAAAUGAGUCAGAUACCAUAUGCUUCCGCUGUGGGCUCGAUCAUGUAUGCUAUGACUUGUACUCGCCCUGAUGUGGCCUUUGCUUUGAGCAUGGUCAGUAGAUAUCAAGGGAACCCUGGCAAGGCACACUGGACAGCGGUAAAGAACAUUCUCAAGUAUUUGCGGAGGACUAAGGACUGGGUCCUUACCCUCGGAGGCAGUGAUGACUUGAGAGUGGAAGGAUAUAGUGAUGCUAGCUUUCAAACUGAUAGGGAUAAUUUCCGCUCUCAGUCAGGCUGGGUCUUUAUCCUAAAUGGAGGAGCAAUUACUUGGAAAAGUUCCAAGCAGGAGACAGUAGCUGAUUCGACUUGUGAAUCAGAGUACAUAGCAGCAAGCGAGGCAGCAAAAGAGGCGAUAUGGCUGAAGAACUUCAUCGGAGACCUUGGAGUUGUACCAGCUAUAAAGGAGCCAAUGGAAAUUUUCUGUGACAGUGAAAGUGCGGUUGCUUUGGCGAAAGAACCAAGAGAUCACGGGAGAUCUAGGCACAUUGACAGAAAAUACCAUUUCAUCAGACAUAGAAUAGAAGAAGGACUCCUCGUGGCAAAGAGGGUAUCAUCAGAUGAGAACCCGGCAGAUCCCCUCACGAAGGGACUGAGCAGGGUUAAGCAUUUACAGCAUGCAAGGCGCAUUGGGCUGAAGGAUGAUAUUAGUUUCAAUAAUUAGAUUCCUGAAACUUGUAAAAUGUAAUUGACAUUUGAUGAUAAAUAAAAGUUGUUAUUUAUUUAUGAGUAAGGUGUUACUAUCUUGUGUUGAUUGUUUACUAUGUUUCAAUUUUGUAUGUUUCUACUUCCAGAAUAAUCAUGUUAUUAGUCAAACCAUCCACAGUCAGUCAAACUUUGGAAGUAAGUAUUGAUUUAAGACUGUCAUGAAUUUGGCUUGUAUGAUUUGUCUAAAGUGCUUUAGACAAUGCAAUGGUUGCUACAACAUUCAUGAGUACUCAUAAGGGCUGAGUAUUGGAUUCAACCCACACUCACUUGCAUCACUUCAUGGAAUCUAUCUCGAGUCAUCGUGAGACAGUAAUAUCAUAUAAAUCUUCAAACCUAGAGAUAUGAGUUGUUGACCAUGAGUUGGUUAUUCAUUGAUUGUACGAAAACGCAUUGGUAACUCGAUGUUAUAAAACGUGCCUUUGUGAGUAAUUCAACAAGUAGUUAGUAUAAGCAUAUCAGUUGAAGUUUAUCUGUUCCAUCUAGAAAUAGAAGCGAUAUCUAGGCCCCUCGAUGAUUUGGUUUUAACCUGUGUUCCGGGCCCGGUCAGAACCUAAUUGAUGUGUUCAAUUUAGUUCUAUUUCGAAACAAAUCGGAGAUCGAGAAACAAAUGUUGGACAAUAAGUAAGACCAUGUUCCAUGUGUUUGUCCAGCUGAUAUCAUGAGAGAAAAGGAUUGUAUGAUCACUUAUCUUAAAUGGCGUAUCAUCAACAUCUUAGUUCCGAGAGACUUUGAAAGAGCUACGAUUUCUAGUCAGAUAUUGAAGUCAUAUUUGCAAAUAUAGUUAUUAGACUUAUCCAAGUGGGAGACUGUUGGAUAUAGUGUCUAAGUCCAUAACUUUAUUUGGUAUGUACUUGACCCGACCCGGCAUGGUCCAUUUGGGUUGCAUGGCAUUGCAAUACUUGGAUAGACUAAAUGAGAGAAUAUGGCACUUAUGAUUAUUAAUAUACUAUAAGUUCUAAUAUAUUAAUAAUAGUGUUAUUUAAGUAGUAUUGAUCAAGUAUUAAUUUGGUGAUCAAAGUGAGACUAAUUAAAUCUAGAGGGUUGAUUAUGACAAUCAUCAAUUCUUUUACGGUGGAUUAAUGAUCCAUGGUUUAUGGGUUAUGGAUGUAACCAUUUGGAGCUCCAUGGAUAGUUCAUGGGAGUUACAAAACCAUGGGUCAUGAGAAAUGAUGAGUCAUGACAAUUAUAGGUCUUCUUAAUGAAACCCUAAUUGUGACACCACUAUAAAAGGAACCCUUUGGCUAGCAAAAUGGUGACCUAGUGUUACUGGAGAGGGCAUAACCGAUUUUGAGUGCUAGAAGUAUUCUCUCAAGUUAUUCCAAGUUUUGUGGUGUUGUGUGAAGCAUUUGAGGCACAACAUUUGGGGUGCUAGGCUCCCAAAGUCUUGAAGGAAUCCAAGCAACAUCAAGGUAUGUAUUUCUACUAGUUUUAUAUUUUAUUAUUCCCCAUGCCAUGCUAGUUAGGAAAUAACAUUGAAAAAGAAAUUUGCAUGUAUAUAGAGGAAACAUAGAUUCAAGUUUAUUAGAGUUGCAUGUACACUUAGGAAGUGUUAGAAUGCUCAAAACCCGUCACAGCGUACCUAGCGACUCCGCGUCCAAAAUAAGCGCAUGAGUACGCACAGCGUACCCCUCUGGUAUGCCUAGCGUACUCACUUGCAAGGUUUUCUCCACUCAAGGACCCAAUCAUGAACAAUUGACAAAAAACAAGGGUGAAAGAAAUGCACCUGAAUCUCCGGGUGUUACAGUGGAAUGGCCAUGUCAAGUAACUAACACUUACAAUGGCUAACUUAAUGGGCUGGGAGAACCUAUAAGCACCGAUGAUGGAGGAGUACUGCCCAAGGGAUGAAGUAAAAAAGCUAGAACAAGAGCUUUGGAGCCUUAUCAUGACAUGCUCUAACAUCGUGGCCUACACUAAUAGAUUUAGUCACCUAGCAACACUAUGCCCCGGGAUGGUCACCCCGGAAAGUUAGAAAGUGGAAACGUACAUCUGGGGACUAUCUCCUCAGAACCAAGGAAACGUGAUACUACAGGUCCACCCACUUUCGAUAGUGCCAAGCAUCUGGCUCAAACGCUCAUGGACCAUGGAGUCCUCCAAGGCAUGAUGGCCCCUGUUCCUGAGACAUCCAAAGGGAGUGAAUAUAAGAGAAAGUCUUGGAGCAAGAAAAAGGGACAUCCAACACAACAACCCUAGAAGAAACAACAGGUUGUUGGUGUUCAUGUUGCCACGACCCCUGUCACUUCGGCACCCGCUAGUCGUUACUCUGGAAACGUUUCAAAGUGAAACAAGUGUAACUUCCAUCACACCGGAGUUUGUCGAGACAUGCAUUGCAGAAAUUACAACAGGAAAGGGCUCACUGCCCGUUUCUAUAGGGCACUGGCGCAACCCCUCACCCAAGUCCCCGGCAUUGGAGUAAACCCGGCUUGUUACAUGUGCGGUGAAACAUGACACUUCAAGAGAUAUUGUCCAAGAGCAAGGAAUAUUCGUAGUGAUGGAAGUGUACUGAUGAUCACCGCAGGAGAGACUCUCGUGAACCCGCCUGUGAAUAAUGGUACGGUUUCAAAUAAAAUUAUUUAAAGCUUAAAUGUUACUAAAACUGGUGACAAUUAAAUCGUAAGCAUAAAUUUACUCCCAUCCGAAUAAAUUGCAUCGUUGAUAAAAAAACUAAGAAUCCUGGCAGGUGGUCUAUGAUGGCUUAGUGUAAACAUUAGGGUCAUAUAUAAUUAUGAUUCUACAGGCUUAGAGUGAGUGAUUCCGCCUUAUCUCCUGUUCCUUGUCUGGUUGUGGAUUUAGUGUGGAGUAAGUCAGUCGAUUGUCUUCUCAAUCUUAAUUAUAUACGACUUGUAUACACUAAGCGAUUAUAGAGGGACUUGGUAGGGAUCAUAUUACAAUAUUUCAUCACUAAUUAUCAGAACACUCUUACUGUUUGGGCUCACUAAAUGCGGUACAAAAUCAUUCGCAGUAGUAACUAUAAGGGUAGAACGAAAGGCACUAAAAACAUAUACAUAGAAUACACCAUCACUCUAAACAAUCACUCCUUCCAAAUCGACUUAACACCUUUUACCAUAAGAAGAUCCGACAUCAUCAUUUGACAUGGAUUGGCUUGGUCCUCACCACACCAAUAUCGUGUGCUUCGAAAAGACCCUUCGCCUUAACCGGCCAACUAACAAAAUCCUUUCAAUCUAUAACGACAAACCCGACACAAACCUUUGUAUCAUCUCUCGCUUCAAAACUCAUAGGUACCCAUGGAAGGGGUACCAUUCCUUCCUAUCCCACUCCGUAGACAACAAAAUUGAAGCGAAAAACAUCGAGGAUGUUUCAGAUGUUUUUGUAACCUUCCUGAAGUAUUCCCAGCAGACCUCACGGGAAUAUCGCUCAUACAGCAAGUCAAGUUCAGGAUUAGAGACUAAGGACCCAUGCAACUAACCUUUCACCACUAGGUGUAUACGCGAGGGUGGUAUAUAAUUAAGAUUCUACGGACUUAGGAUGUGUGAUUUCGCCCUACCUCCUAUUCUUUGUCUGGUUGUGGACUUGGAGUAGAGCCAUGUUGAGUCUAGUGGAUUGCAUCAUGGGCUCGGUUCAUAGCCUAGUUUAGUUGCCGGUAUUAGGCCUGUCCAGCCGUGCAUAAUUUUGUAUUAGGGUUUAAGUAUAUAAGCUGCAUGCAUGCAGACUUAGUAAGUAGCGCUUUCCUUGUUUUUGUAUUCAUUAAUUUCGUAAACCCUAGCUCGCCUCUACAGCGGAAGUUCUUCAUCGAGCUCUGCUGAGGCGUGACUCAUUUUUGAAUCAUAAGCUCUUAUUUGAUUCUGAUCUGUGCUCGUUUAUAAUUUAUUCUUGUCUUUUAUAAUUCUUUUAUCGUACUUGUGAAAGAUAUAAACGAUCUAAGAGUUUUGAACUCAUCAAUUGGUAUCAGAGCAGGAGACUGUGUAAUCCAUACACACCUCUUCUGUCGAAGAAGUUCAUAGGGUUUUUAUUCCGCAUUGAUUGAUAUUUAUUGAGCCAUCAUUCCUUAUUGGCGUAUCUCAUUAAUUGUUAAUCUAACCCUAAUCGAUAUAUUACAAAUUUGAUCUUUUAUAGGUUUUCGAUCAAAAGUACUCACAAUGUCUAUGGACGAUUCUCAAACCAAUCCGAUAAAUAUCUCAAACAGCAUAGGGUCUACAACAAGAAUACCGAUCUUGUAUACGCAAGACUAUGAAGUCUGGAUGCAUCACUUUGAAGACUACAUGAUUGGAUCGGAGGAUAAUGGGUAUCUAAUCUGGGAAGCUAUCACUUCAGGCCCAUUCGCUCAUUCUAGCACGUCAAAGAUUGUUAAAACGCAGAAAGAAUACAAUCAGCUUGUUAAUGACGUCAAAGACAUCCCUCAGGAUGAAAAAGAGAUGUUCCAAUAGAAUAUCAAAGCUCUCAGGAUGAUACGGUUUGUGCUACAAUCGGAUACAUUUCGAUUGGUAAGUUCCUGUGCUACAGCCAAGGAGAUCUGAGAUAGAUUGAAGGAAUUGUAUUCCAGUGAUGAAGAUCUGGAACACUCUAUUCAAACCCUCUUGUUGUCAGAGUUUGGUGAUUUUAAGAAAAAGCCUGAAGAAAAAGCUUAUCCAAACUUUCGAUCGUUUCAAUCAUCUUUUGAGCAAGAUGAUAAAGCAUGGUAUUGAAAGAAAAGUGAUUGAACAAAACGUCACUUUCAUGAAUAGUCUCGGACCUGAAUGGAUGGCCGUUGUGUCAACUGUCAAAGCUCAUGAACAGUUCAAGUCGUACUCUUUGGAAAAACUUGUGGGUAUUUUAAAAUCCCAUGAGAAUGCCUUAUCAAAGGAAACGAAUGUUGUUUCGGGUCUUGGUUCUAUGGCUCUUGUCUCCAAAGGAAAGAGCUCGAUUGAAGAAGAAGAGGAAUUAGAUCUUGCUGACUUUGAUCUAACCGGCGAAGAAUAUGCAAUGAUGGUGUCAAACCCCAGAAAAUUCAUUAAGAAGAAAUUCCCCUCCAACAAAAACCGAAAUUGGCUCGGAAGUUAUAACGUUGAACGGGUCAAGGAGGAACCGAAGAUGGGAUCAAAAUCUAAAGAGUCUAUGAAGGAAGCUAAAAUUGGAGGCGACUCAGGAUUUGAUUGCCAUUACUCUGGAGGCAAAAAUCAUUUUGCGAAAGACUGCAUGCUGAGAAAGAAGGAAUAGAAGACAGGAGAAGAUGAUGAGGAAGCGAGCCUCCUGAGAAGAUUGGAGGAAAUAAAGAAAAGAAAGUCUGAUGUUAAUAACUCUACUAUGAAUGCUUUAAUUGUGCAGGGUUCAACCAACAGUGAUGAGUUUGGAGGUGUGGAAGUCUGUUCUACAGACUCUGAGGAUGAUGAAGUUAGGAAGCCAACUCAUGGAAAAGCAAUGAUAGCAAAAUCAGAACAGUCAAUGGGAAGAUGUUUUGCAGUGACCGAGGGUGUGUCCCAAAUGAGAGGAUACACAAUAGAUGGGGGAGUUGAAGAAGAAAGAGAGCGAGAGGACAGAUGUUUCGCUGCCAAGCCUGUAGUGCUCAGAUCAAUGAAUGCGAUGAGUUGAUCAAAAUGGUACAAGAUAUUCUUGCUUCUCUAAAAUUACCUGCUAAUAAUUAUGAAAAGGAAUUAAAUAAUUUGAAGUCGAAAUUCUCUAGCAUAAGUAGCAGUCUCACCCAAACCCGUGUCACCAAUUCUAACCUAACUGAUCAAAUCAGUAGGAUUUCUUCAAAGAGUGAAGAACAAAGAAUGUGGAUCGAGCAAAAGGAAAAGGAAUUAAUUAGAUCAAACGAUGAUUCUAUUUAUUUGCAAAGAGACAAUCUUAAACUUCUCAAACAAAGAAACAUUUUUUGUUUAAUUGCUAAGAGGCUUUAUUUUAACAUUACUCAGUUGCAUCUUGAUUGUAAAAUAGGGAAGAAAAUUCAUCGUAUGAUUUUACCUUUCCUUGAAUUAAAGGAGGAUGAAAUCGAUGCAGAAGCAUACAACUGUGAAAGUGUUGUGUCCUCUAACGAAGUGUCUCUAGCAUAUAAGAUUGGUCUGGACAAAAUUUAAUCUUACAUAAAGUCCAAGGACCACAAGGACAUGCUCAAAAAUCUACUAGAUGAAAAUGACAAAUUGAAACUGAGAGCCGAAACUAUACAAAAAUUUGACUCAUUGAAUGCCAAUUUAAGUUUAGAUAACAAAAUUGAUAUUGAAAAUACAUCUGAACUUAAUGAGGUCGAUGAUAUGAGUGAAAUUUCUGUAGAAGAUUUGGUAGAUUGUUCCGAAUUAGCCAAGAAUGAACCAAAGUCCAUUAAAAACCUCAUUUCUGAAAACUCUGUUGAGUUUGCUCGUUCCACUACCGACAAGUCCAAAACUCUCAAAGCUAAAGCUGUGGUGUACCAAAAGGUUCAAACUACUCCAAAUCAGGUUUACACUGUGUCGGUGGUCACUCCACAACAAACUGCAGAGUUCACUACGAUGGUAGAAGAAGACAAUGUUAGUGGAUGUGAUGAAUACUUUUGGUCUGCCCCAAUCGACAACGCAGACAAGACGAAGGGUCUCUCUCAGAAAACCUCAUGGAGAGUGAAAGGUAGAUAUAUACCCGAACCACUGAAUGAGCCAACAAAGUAUGAUGUGCCUAGGACAAGUGGAACUAAACCAUAUGUGGAUGAACCGACGCAAACUACGAGUGACACUAAAAGAAAGGCCAACAUUCAUAGAAAUCCCAAACAGGUCGCCGAUCGAAAGCAUCAAUGUAACGUAAGAUACAAGAAGAAUCUCUCCGAAAGAAAACCAUUUUGGAAUUCUCAAAAUCCUGACUUUGUAAGGAUUGAAAGAAAGUCUAAACUGGAGGAAAACUCAAAGAACCAGAAGCGCAGUUACGACAGGAACCAAAAGAGCAGCUUCGGUCCUUCAAGAGAUUGGAACCAAAAGGGUGGUUUCGGUCCAUCACCCAUCAACAACCGAAAGGGUGGCUUUGGUCCAUCACCCAUCAACAACCGAAAGGGGGUUUCGGUCCAUCACCCAUCAACAACCGAAAAGGUGGUUUCGAUCCAUCACCCAUUCACAACCGAAGGGGUGGUUUCGGUUCAUCUUCCAACAACAACCGAAGGGAGAGUUUCGGUCCCUCAUCCUUGGACAACCGAAAGGGAAGUUUCGGUUCCCCAUCCAACUCCAACCGAAAGAAAAGUUUUAGUCCUCAAGCCUACAAGCCAGAUCUUAAUAAUCAAGAACCUAACGUCGCUCCUAAUUCUAAAUAUCUAAAUUCUAGUCCUUCUGUCAAAAACUCUUGUUCUCCUAAGUCGACAAAAAUUAAAGUUUUCACCAUUAAAAGAAAAGAUGAAACCACUUUAAUUAAACGCACAUAUAUGGUUGACAUUUCUCUUACUAUACCAUGUCCUGUAAAAGGCUCACAAGGACCCAUGAAACUUUGGGUUCCUAAAUCUGCUUAAUCUUUUGCAGGUUAUACGUGACGAUCAGUUUGACGAAGAAUGGUACAUUGACAGUGGCUGCUCAUGUCACAUUAAAGGAAGAAAGGAGGAACUAAGGGAGUUUCGCUCUUUAAAAGAUGGUGGCAUUGUAAAGUAUGGCAACAACUCAUUUGGACCUAUUAAAGGCCAUGGAAUGAUCACUAAUGGCGAAUUCUCCAUAAGGAAGGUAGCAUACGUUGAAGGACUUCAACACAAUCUAAUCAGUGUAUCACAGCUGGUGGUUGGUACCGGGUUGAAAGUAUCUUUCGACGAUGAAGGCUCAGAAAUUUUCGAGAAGAAGUCAAGCAACGUUCUAUUAAGAUCCAAGCGAAAAGGAGAAAUGUAUCCAGUGAACCUCAAUCCAAUACGAGGUAAACCUGCAAUCUGCUUACUCUCAAAGGCACACUCCGACAAAAGUUGGCUAUGGCACAGAAGACUCUCACACCUGAACUUCAAGGACAUCAACAAAUUAGUUUUCGGUGAUCAUGUUCGAGGUCUGCCAGUUCCGAAAUUCAAUAAAGAACAUCUUUGUGCAACAUGUGAAAUGGGAAAGCAGAGUCGACAGAGCCAUCCCUCAAUAAUCAACACCAAAGUAAUAGAACGAUUGGAGUUACUGCAUAUUUAUCUAUGUGGUCCAUCAUCCAUCGAAAGCAUUGGAGGAAACAAAUAUAUUCUGGUUAUAGUAGACGAUUUCUCAAGAUUCACAUGGACCAUCUUUCUCAAGCAAAAGUCUGAAGCUGUAACAAAGCUCAAGCUCUUCAUUAAACUGAUUGAAACGCAAUUCAGAAAGAUUGUUCGAAAUGUAAGGAGCGAUAAAGGCCUAGAAUUCAAAAACAAAGAUUUUGAAAGUUUUCUUGCUGGAAAGGGGACAACUUGCAAUUUCUCAACCCCCUAUACUCCACAACAAAACAACAUUGUUGAAAGGAGAAAUCAAUCCUUGUGUGAAGCUGUUCGUACCAUAUUUUGCUUCGCAUCCUUGCCAUUAUACUUCUGGGCUGAUGCAAUUGCGGCUGCAUGCUCUGCCCAUAAUCGAUCUUACUUGAAUAAACGGUUCUCCAUUACUCCUUAUGAGAUUUUGAACAAUUGAAAACCAAACGUGAAAUUUUUUCAUGUGUUCGGUUCUAGAUGCUUCAUUUUCAACUCCAAGGAGAAUCGAAACAAGCUCGAUGCCAAGGCAGAUGAAGGAAUUUUCUUAGGCUACUCCUUGAACUCCAAGGCAUAUAGACUUCUCAAUAAACGCUCGAAGAAAAUUGAAGAAACAUACUAUGUCACCUUUGACGAUAGUUAUGUUAAGAAGUUAAGAGCAACCAAAGAUGCAUCACAAGACAUAUUUCCAAAGAUGGUCAGGUUACUAUUUCCAUCUCAAAUCUUUUCAAUCAAUUCAUGCUCUUGUUUGAUGAGCCUCAGAAAACAAUUGACUUAGAAUCAACUGCAAAAGACAACAAAGUUGACAACUUAAAACAAGUUGUAGAUGAUGCUGCUAGAAAAAUGGAAGAUGAUCAAUCCAAAGGAACCAAAAGUACGGAUGGAAGCAAACCUUCUGGUGACCAUCCUACUGUCGAGGGGGAGGGUUCUUCUCCUCAUCAUGAUCAAGGUUCUUCGUUCCAAGGGGAGAACUCAUCGCCAAAUACAACAGCCUCCACUUAAAUUCCAACCAAUGAAGGAGGUACAAAUGCUUGUCCUGAACAGGAAUCAUUCUUCGAGGGAGAGAAAACAAUUAGUGAAGAUGACAACUUGUCUGAACUCAAAGAAGAAAUCAAUGCUGAAUUGGAUCCCAUCUAUGAUUCAAAGUUUCCUCCACUUGUGAAAUGGACCAAAGAUCAUCCCCAGACUCAAAUUAUUGGGCAAUCCUCUGAAAAGGUGUUGACACGAUCUCAAAUCAAAGCGAAACAGGCUGCUCUAUUUUCAAAGGUCGAGUUUUGUAUGUUCAAUUCAUUCGUGUCCAAAAUCGAGCCAAAGACUGUUAAUUCGGCUCUUGAUCAUUCAGAUCGGGUUUAAGCCAUGCAGGAUGAGCUAAAUGAGUUUGAAAGAAACAAGGUAUGGCGUCUUAUUCCAACACCAAAGGAUGCUUCGGUUUUCGGUCUCAAAUGGGUGUUCAGAAACAAGAUGGACAAAGAAGGAAAUGUUAUUCGUAAUAAAGCUAGGCUAGUAGUCAAAGGAUAUUGUCAGGAAGAGGGAAUCGAUAAUGAAGAAACCUUCGCUCCAGUAGACCCGAUAUCUUGUUCUCUGUCUGUUAUUAUGCUCGAUUUCAGGCCAACCAAUGAGAACCUCAUCUUCAAGCAGUGAAGAACAUCUUUCGCAAUCUAAAGCGAACUUCCUCUCUAGGUCUAUGGUAUCCAGCCAACUCUGGAUUCUUCAUGCAAGCAUUUUCAGAUGCUGAUCUGGGUGGCUGUGGAUUGGAUCGAAAAAGUACCACAGGAGGAUGCCAAUUUCUAGAUGGAAAAUUAGUCAGUUGGAAAUCAAAGAAACAAACUUGUGUUUCGUUAUCCAUUGCAGAAGCCGAAUACAUUGUUGCGACUUCUUGUACAUCUCAAGUAGUAUGGAUACAGAGUCAACUUCGGGAUUAUGGCUUAUACAUGAAAAAAAAUCCCCCUAUACUGUGACUCUGAAAGCACAAUUAGAAUUUGUCACAACCCAGGGCAACAUUCGAAGACAAAGCAUAUCGCAUUGAGAUACCAUUUCAUCAAGGAUCACGUCGAAGAUGGCAAUGUAGAAAUGCACUUCGUAAGAACGACUGAUCAACUGGCAGACAUUUUCACAAAGGCUUUACUUGAAGCAAGCUUCAAUAAAAUCUUACAAGGCCUAGGAAUGAUGCAAGUCUAGUCAGUACCAAAAUCGCCUUCGCUCUCUUAAAGGUAACAAGCGAAAUAGAGCGAACCUAUAUGAACCGAAAUGAACCGAGCGUUCGGUCUAUUUAGGGUUCGAUCCAUUUCGGGUUCGGUCUAUUUCGGGUGAAGUUGGUCCAUGAACCGAAAUGAACCGAGCGUUCGGUCUAUUUCGGGUUCGGUCCUUCUGAACUUGUUCAUUUUUUAGGCAUUUUCAAGUGUUUACUUAUGUACAUCUUUUCUCUAUUUUUUUUCUCUCUUAUAAAAUUCCUAAAAUAUUUUUUCUUUAAAAACUCUUAAGAAAUCCAAAAAAAAAUAUUUUUUUUUUUAUCUCAAUGGCAUUGCUAAGACAAGCAAAUAGUUUUCCUAGUUAGGAGUCCCUAGAAGCAUGUUGUUGUAUGUUGACUAAAGCCUCGAUAGAUUUUGAGUGAAGCCUUAAUAACAUGAUAUAUACCAAUCAUGUUUUCCCAAUCCAGACUAUGUGAUUCACUCUAAUCAUGAGCUACCUUACUCUACUCACAUUGAGCUUAGAGUUUUCUACUUGGUCCUUCUUUUCUUUAAUACAGAGGUACUUUCUCUUCUUCUACCAUCUCUAUCAUCUUCUCCAUUAUAAUUCGUUUCAUCAAUAUAACCCUUGAGACUCUCAGUCUUAGCCACUGAGGUUUAUGGUUAUACAAAAUCUGCGUUCAUGAUCUUAGUUUCAUGCCACUAUGUACUAAGUGAAACCCAAAAUUCAACACUAUUAACGAAUUGACGGUGAAUUCAAUAAUUCAAGAUAUUACUUGUUACCCAAUGAAAUCUCUUUUUCCUUUUGAGUAAUCUUUAUGAGAUUGCCUUUCACCAAGGUGUCUCUAACCCUAAAAGAUACAGUUUAUUUUUUUUUUUGAGAUUUCUUAAACUCAGUUGUCACUAUAAAUUAUUUCUCAUCUACUUGUUCAACAGGUCACAAUGAUCUCACAAGUACUUCGUUCUAUUUUGAUCUUAUGUUAAGUAUCAAAAUUAUGAAAUGAAGUGAAAGACACCCACUUUACCCCUUAAAAAGAAGCCUUUCAAAACUUCUGAACAAGUUAUUGAUAGUUAUUUCAUUGGAAACCAAGCAAGCACUUCAAUGUCUCUCUUGACUUUGAAGGAAGUGAUUUUUGCCCAGAAUCAAUUGCUUUAUGUCUAUACACGACAUCACAGUCAAUCACCAAAUACUUGUUCUAUUUCUUUAUCUUUUACACUCAAUUUUCCAGAAUUCUAAGUUUUACACAGAUUAUCAAGAUACAACUACUCAAGCGUUAUCUGGUGAAACAAUUAGGUUGAAAUGGUCGCUGACUCAGUAGAAAUUCAAACGGUUUGGCGAUUUGAAAAAGGUGAGUUUUUAUCAAAAGGCGUGAAAAAGGGGAAACGUUUUUCUCUCUCCUGCAUCACCUUUGGCAUGCCAACUGUUCCCACAUCAAGCCAGGCGCGUUUUUAGAGAUAAUCCAGGAUUUCAGCCGGAUUCUUCUCUCUCAACCCUGUACGUAUAAAAGGAAUUGGAACGGUACUCUCUCAACCUUUAUCACUUCCAAAAAGCUCUCAAAGAAACCCGACUAUUUUCUUCACUCUUCAUCAACAUUCCCAUGCUUCUACAAUGGCAGAAUCUUCAUUUGUUCUUGAUACCUCAGUUCGUCAACCCCUCCUCACAAUAAAACCCCAACAAAACCUAAUCAUCGAUCUCACUCCCUUCGUUUAUGAGCCGUAUAUGCUUUAUGUGGUUGAGUGUCUUAAAUACUCACCUCUUGUAGAUGCCCUGACAAAGGUUGAAAUUGUGCCAAUGUCGUUCUUAUCUCGUGUCUACUCCACGGCGUUCUACGAUAAAGCCAAUGAGCGUAUCCACUUCGAGCUUCACAAUGUGAAGUUCUCUAUCUCCAAAAGCAGAUUAUGUGCCCUAAUCGGUCUCUCACAAGACCCGUCUCUGGUAAACCCUGACUCCAUUACCACUGGCCAACUGUUCACCAUGUUUUAUCAGAUGGGGUAUACUGAAACCCUAACAACCGUCACAAAGUUCAAGAAGUCCUGGCUUCCUCCUCAAUGGAAUGGCCUACUCACACUCUUGUUCAAGGGUUCAUCUGAGCGAAGUGCUGGUACUGACGGUGCUAGCAAGGCCUUCAUGACGGUGUUGUAUGGGUUGUACAGCGGGCUUAAUCUUGACUAUGGGUCUAUCAUUUGGCAGCAACUGGUUCAAAGUUUACUUUCUUCAUCAAAGCACUCCGAAAUUUCUUGUGGGCAUUUCUGGACCAUUAUCGCCAAGUGGGCAAUGCAUCGCAAUCCCGUCCCAAUAAUGGUGGAUUCCUUACUUUAUUCGAUCGCCAACUUUCAUACGACGAAGAUCAUCGUCACUGACCCCACAAAGUUCUCAUACAUCGGUUCCAUUCCUGAAAGAAUGCUUAAUUCAAUCUCAACAUCAAGCAAUCUUCUUCAGCAGUACCGGAAACGCAAGUCUGUUGGUCCGCGUGAGCUUAUUCCUACAAUGCUUCGUUCUAUUGAAGAAGUCGAUAAACCAGCCAAAAGGGGCAACAAACCUGAAUCACAAAAGGAGGGACCGGUAGCAAAACCAUCCAAGGGGCAGACUCCCAAGAAGUGGAAAACUGGUCAAGCAGCUGCUUCUCAACCACAACCCAAAAAGCAGAAGAAGCCUGCCAGGAAACUUAUUCUUCAAUCCUCCAGCGACUCGGAUUCAGAAUACUUUCCUCCUAACCAGAAGAAAGCUCUGUCAUCAGACUAUGAAGACGAAAGUUCAGAUGAAGAGGCUUCGAGCCGAGGGGAUACUCCCCAUUGCUCCCUAACUCCAGAAAUUCCGGUUCGUUCAUUGCCUCCUUCACCUCCACCUGUNGCCUCCUUCACCUACACCUGUUACAAUUCCUGCUUCUAUCCCUCCUAUCUCUCAAACAACCACCUCUCAACCUUUCACUUCAAUACCUAUUCCCACUCCCAUCCUCACAGACACAACCUCUACCACCACUACAAAACCUACCUUCACUAUUCCCAACCUACCUGUAACCGAAGCUACUCAAACAACCGAACCUCCUAAAACAACCGAACCUCCACCUUCCUCAAAACCCUUAUUGCCAACACCUUCUACAGAAACAAACCCAAUUUUGGGCGGUAAGGACUUGGAGUUUGACUCUACAUACUUCAGUCCUUGUCGAUUACGGAGUGAGGAUGAUGACGACGAGCCUAUCACCAAACGUCAUCUCAAAGAUGUAAACGAAAAACUGGAUCAAAUGCUUUCCUCCUCUUCCUCAUGCGCUUAUUCAGAUGUGGCAUUUAAGGCUCUCUUCUCUUCAGUUCUUGCUGAACAUUCAACCUCCUUAACUGCUGCAGCCAAGGCUAUUGAAGCCUCCACUUCUCAGUGUCAACAGGCCUCUAAAGUUGUUCAUGCAUCUACAAAAGAAUGCAAGGAUGCGACCGCAAAAGUCGAUAAACUAGUUUCUCAGGCUCAUAUCUUUUUAGAUUCUUUGCAGGCUGCUGCUGCCAAGAAUGCUGCUACAGUUACUGUUGGGUUUUGAGCAAUCUAACACUUCCUAAGUGUGCAUGCAACCCUAAUAAACCUUGGAUCUAUGUUUUCUUCUAAAAUACAUGCAAAUAAUAACUUCCAAGGUUUCUUCCUAACUAGCAUAGCAUAAGGAUUAAGAAUCAUAAAAGUACUAGUAGAAAUACAUACCUUUUGAUGAUGGUUGAUUGUUUGGAGUUUGAGAGCCAAGCACCAAUAGUGUGAAUGCCUCAAAUGGAAUCACAAAUCACCACAAACACUUGGAAAACUUUGAGAGAGUGUAUACACACAUAGAAAAUCGGCCACACACACAAAACCACACUAGUGGCACUUUCAUGCAACAUAAGCAUGCUUAUAUAGUGUACAUGGUUAGGGUGAAACCCUAAUAACCCAUGACCUUUCCUUUUCCAAGGAUCCAUGGGUUAAAAGCUCCAUGGAUCAUCCAUGGACUUCCAUAUAAGCCUAGCCCAUUAACAAAUGAGUGUUAGCCCACACUAUAUAAAACCAAUAGCCCAUAAUCUAAUUAGUCUUCCUUUUAAUCUCUAAAUUAAUUCAUAAUUAAUUUAAGACUAAGACUAAUUAAAUAACAUGACUUCAUAUUAAUAUAUUAUAACUUAUAAUAUAUUAAUAAACAUAUGUGUAUAACUCUCAUAAAAUUAUCCAUAAAUAGUUCGGGUGAAGUGCAACCCAAAUGGACCAUGCCGGGUCGGGUCAAGUAUAUACCAAAUAAGUUAUGGACUUAGACACCUUAUCCAACAGACUCCCACUUGGAUAAGUCUAAUAACUAUAUUUGCGUAUGUUACUUCAGGAACCAACCAGCAAUCGUAGCUCUCGAAAACUCUGUUGAACUAUGAAGCGCCAUUUUAGAUAAGUGAUCAUAUAAUCCUCUGUUCUCAUGAUAUCAGCCGGACAAAUACAUGGAACAACGUCGUACUUAUUGUCCAGCAGUUUGUUUCCCGAUUUUCGAUUUGUUUGACAAAGAACUUAAUCGAACACAUCAAUUUAGUUCUGACCGGCCGGUACAUAGGUCACAACAAAAUCAUCGAGGGGCCCAGAUAUCGCUUCUAUUUCUAGAAGGAACAGAUAAACUUCGACUCAUAUGCUUGUUCUACUACUUGUUGAAUUGUACACAAAGGCACGUUUUAUAACAUCAAGUUACUGAUGCGUUUACGUGCAAUCAAUGCACAACCAACUCAUAGGUAACAACUCAUAUCUCUAGGUUUGAAGAUUUAUAUGAUAUUACCGUCUCACGAUCACUCGAGAUAAAUUCCAUGAAGUGAUACAAGUGAGCGUGGGUUUAUUCCAAUACUCAUAACUUAUGAGCACUCAUGAAUGUUGUAGCAACCAUUGCUAUGACUAAACCCAUUUAGCCAUCUACAAACUCGAUUCAUGACAGUCUUGAUUCAUACCUACUUCCAACAUAUGAACGACUGUGGAGUGUUUAAAUAACUUAGUCAUUCGGAAAGAAUAACCUAGCUAUUUUGGAAGUCAAAACAUGCAAAGUGAAACACAAUAAUAAUCGAAUCCAAUAUGGUCUCAGAACCCUUUUGAAUAUAAAUAGAACCACCUUUUAUUUAUCACCAUAUUGAUUACACAUUAUUCAUUGUAUAAUGUUUCAAACAAUCAACUUAAGACUUGAAUAAAAACAACAGUCGUCCCAUGCUCCUAGCAUGUACACUUUGUUUUUCUAAACAAUAGUUAUGCCAUACUCCAAGUAUGCACACUAUGUUUGUCUAUGAUCCUUACAUUGUGAUGUAGAUCAAUUGAACAUGAUUCCAAUGAUACUCAUUUCACAAUCCCAAAUCCUUAUUGUAAAUGUGAGAAUCCCCGAUUCCUAUCAUUUACCAAAAAAACUGUUAGAUUUUAAACUUUUAUGCAAUGUUCCUCUUGUAAUGAUUAUGCACAAAGUCACCAAAACCUUGUCACCAGUCAUUACAGAGUAUUCCAAAGAAGGUCAACUUCUAUGGAACGGAAGUCUCAUAUUCAAAGUACAUUGCUUUGAACAUCCUUCUUGCAUUAAGGUUUUCUAAUCUUACAUAGAUUGAAUAACUUCCACCUAUGGAGACAUUUCCAUAGUCCCAUUUUGACUAUCACUUCCGAACAAGAGUUACUUCUUUUCAGAAUAUGUCAAUAUGGUCCUUUCCGACAACUUACAUCAUACUUCCAACUUUCCCUGAGCAACCAAUCUUUGGCGAACCUCAGAUUGUCCUCGACAAUUGCUUAAUCACUUUAGUCAUAUCCAGUUCUAGACUUUUCCCUUCUCAAUGCCUUAAGCAUUUGGAAAAUUUAGAAAAGAUGAAUAUUAUAGCACAUGCAAUCGAUCCUAUAUCCGAAGCAUAUGGGACACGAUUCAUGAUGUUUGACAUAAAGACAUGAUACUAGACCAGUCUUUUGCUACAAUAUUUUUUAUUUGCCAUGUUUUCAAAAUUUAACUAUGAAGAGGGAUGCCGUAAUCAUAAUCGAAUUUUGAAAACGCAAUAUAUAUAGAAUUUCUUCAAGUUGAACCAUUCCAACAUAAAAUUCAUAUAUAUAUUCUUGACUAAAGAUGAUUAAAAUCUCAAUCUAAGCUUUAGAAUUGAAAUGAAGUAUAAUUUCCUCUCCCUUAAUUAUAGCAAAACAACUUUUCAACCCCUGCAACUUCACGAAUUGAAACUUUGUUUUCUAUAAUUAACAUUGCUAACUUGCAACACUAAACGUAAUAAUCAUGCUCCCACUAACAUGAUGAUUAUCAGCAUAACACUUAUGCUCCCACUAGCUCUGACAUAUUUCCAGAAAUCUGCUGGACUUCUGAAAUUUAGAUUCAUACACCCUUUCUUAGAUAGCUCACAUGUGUGUCUAAACAAUUUUCAGAACUAUGAAAAGGGAUGCCGUAAUCAUAGUCUCAAUUGCUUAGGCAUUUGCCAUUUCUCACAAGUCCAUGUUAGUGUGCCGGUUAACCACACGCGCUCCACUAACGACUUUUGAAAAUGCAAAUAACACAAUUGAUAUCUACGUAAAAUCUACUUAGUGAAAGCGUUUCCUCACCAUCAUUUUCAUGAAUCGGAGAGAAACCUUAUGACACUUAGAUUUUAUAGUGUAUGAGUUCCUAUCCAUGUGAAUUUGUCAAAACCAUAAUCACAAGAUAAGGUUAGUGACAAAUUCAGCCUUACAUGGAUUAAACUUGUUCAAUCUUAGUUUCUUGUCACCUUGGUAGCACAAGGCCCACCAAUGCUUCCAAGUUGAACUCUGAUAACUCACAUGCAAAUUCAACUUAUUUGAAGUAGGUACAGAAAUAAGAAUUAUGUCAACACGAUAGGUUGCAAACCUUAAGUCGUGUGCUAGUGAUAAAUUACAGGUUUUACUCUUGAUUAAAUCUUGAAACUCUUUCAGGAUCUUUAAGGCUCCCACUGUCCCCUUGACAUAUAAGUUUCCCCAGUCAAGAACCAUUCCUUGACAAAACAAAUAUUCAAGGGAUAGUGCGGAUUCUUAUCAAGACUAACACUUCACACAAUUGGUCUUAGUUGGUCUUUGUCUCAUCCAAGACAUCACAACUUACCAAUCUCAAAUGUACAAGAGUAGAAAACAUUUUACUCUUACAUUUGACUAGUGUUAAUAAAUCUUCCUUUAUGUCACUCAAAGUUACAAUCUUGGAGUAUGACUCUAAGAAUUGUUUUGGAACGAAGUAUGACUCAUCUUCUUGAUUUUAACCAAUCCAACAAUUCAUGACCUCUCUUCUUAGCCAUAACAAUGCACUAAGACGUCCUUAGAGUAUGAAUUUGUGAUAUGGUUUCAUAAUCAUUAAGAUGAUCAUGAAAUACGAUACUAAAGUACUCUCCCAUCCUUUCAGAUUUGAGAAACUUUUAUCUUUCUGCCUAAUUUGAUUCUUCUCAUUUGUUUUGUCAUACAUUGUAACCUUUCCAAUGUUACAGAAUUAUACUUAACCUCAUAAGUAUAAUCAUAUUUACUAAUCUUUAGUAAAUCAUGACAAAUCAAUCUUUGUGGUGGACCUUGACCAGCGCACACCCAGUGUACCUAAUUCCUUAGUCCUUCAAUUGACUCACAUAUACAUGUGAUCAAAGAAUUAGUCUUAAUUUUCAAAGAUGAAAAUUCUCAUUCAUCAUACAAUACAACUUGUAUGAUUCCAAGUUUCUGUCCAAUUGAAACUUGGGUGAUGAAAAACUUUCUUCAUUUGGUAAAUUCAGACACUACCACAAAUGAAAGAAUCAAAUCCACUUUCCAAUAUUGCUAUUACUGGAAACAUAUAAGCAACAAUUUUCCACAGAUGCCAUUGUAAGGAUAUUUUUAAAAUAAAUAAAAUUAAAACCCUUUUUUUUUUUUUUUUUAAAACUUUGCGGAAAAACUUAUCCUUACAAUCCACAUGAAAACCUUGUUGUUAUCUAUUCAUAAGCAAUAUAUUAUAACUCUUAAGCAACAGCUCAAAAUUCUGAUUACCGAACCAUGCGAUCGAAACCCACCUUCGCAAUCAGAAUCAACAUAUACUUACUUUAAGCUUCCUAUCUUUUCUUUGAUUCUUAAAAACAUCAGCAUGUGACCCAUUCACAUUAUGUAAUAAGAAUCUCCAAAUAGGAACUUAAUAGAGUUAGACAGUGGACUUUACCCGAAGUAGAGUCAAACCUCUUGACUUGAUCAACCUUAUGACCUUUCAGGUGAAUAGGGCAGCUUCGCAACCAAUGCCCCUUCCUUUGGCAACAAAACACAUGGACCCUUUGGUAAUGGCACAUGAGACUAUCUCAGA
rnacentral:lncRNA from 1 species